rnacentral:lncRNA from 1 species
CCUCAAACCUAUUGCAAACCAAAUCGAAAAGGCUCAUGGGGAAGCUACUGGGAUUGCUCAUGAAUAUAUUCAACUUUUUGUCUGCGCUGCUAUCAAUGAGAUGCAAGAAUCGGCAGUGAAGUCUUUGAACUGGGAUACGCUGAAAAAAUGGGGAGCGACUCUCAAUUAUGCUAGGCAACUUGGUUUUCAAGUGAGCUUAGCUGAUGAGUUACUGAGGAAAACUUUUGUUGCCUACAUGUGUUUCAAAUUUUUGAUAAACCAACCUGAUGACAAAAAGAACAAUCAAGUGUCCGACGAAGAUUUGGAAAGCCAAGUUUAUGGAAGUUGGUCAACUUUUGGAGCUGAAUUCAAGAGUUUGGAAAACCAACAUUAUGAAGAAAACAAUAAUAAAGUGUCCUUCAAAGAUUUCGAAGGAUUAGAAGAGGCAUUGGAGAAAAAUAAUGCAUUUGGUCUUCCAGACUACCUCAAGCCUAUUGUGAACCAAAUCGAAAAGGCUCGUGGGGAAGCUACUGGGAUUGCUCACGCAUGUAUUCAACAUUUUGUGUGCGCUGCUAUCAAGGAGAUGCAAGAUUCGGCAUUGGAGUCUUUGAACUGGGAUACGUUGGAAAAAUGGGGAGCGACGCUCAAUUAUGCUAGGCAACUUGGUUUUCAAGUGAGCUUUGCUGAUGAGUUACUGAGGAAAACUUUUGUUACCUACAUGUAUUUCAAAUUUUUGAUAAACCAACCUGAUGACAAAAAGAACAAUCAAGUGUCCGACGAAGAUUUGGAAAGCCAAGUUUGUGGAAGUUGGUCAACUUUUGGAGCUGAAUUCAAGAGUUUGGAAAACCAACUUUAUGAAGAAAACAACACUAAAGUGUCCUUCAAAGAUUUCGAAGGAUUAGAAGAGGCAUUGAAGAAAACUAAUGCUUUUGGUCUUCCAGACUACCUUAAGCCUAUUGCGAACCAAAUCGAAGAGGCUCGUGGGAAAGCUGCUGGGCUUGAUCAUGGAUGUAUUCAAAUUUUAGUCUGCGCUGCUAUCAAGGAGAUGCAAGAUUCGGCAUUGGAGUCUUUGAACUGGGAUACGUUGAAAAAAUGGGGAGGAACGCUCAAUUGUGCUAGGCAACUUGGUUUUCAAGUGAGCUUUGCUGAUGAGUUACUGAGGAAAACUCUUGUUGCCUACAUGUGUUUCAAAUUUUUGAUAAACCAACCUGAUGACAAAAACAACAAUCAAGGCAAAUUUCGUUAGUUUGAACAUGCAAAUUCAAUUCAUGAUUAUGAUAUUACUACUCAAUUGGGUUUAAUGUAGGAGUAGGAGGAUUAAUUUUGCUCCUUUUUUAUGCAUGCACGAUACACUCAAAGAAUUAGUAUCAAUCACAAGGUCAAAGUCAGAAGCAAUUUAAGUUCAAAAUAAUCAUCUAUGUACAAUACUUUGUUGCAAAGACUUUUCAAGACAUUCAAUUAAAAGAAUCUUGUGAUUGGAGGACCAUCACCCAAAGAAUGUUGAUGUUUUUCAAGUCUUAAAAGAUUAGUUGACUUGCUUUUAGAGGUGAUACAUUCCUGAUUUGAGAAGACCCUGUGAAAGAGCUAUAUCUUAGUUUUAAAACACAUUUUAUAUCACCUUAUUUCAAUUUGGGAGCCCAAAAUAUUAACUAUUUUAGUAAAACUGCGUGAGCUGAAAAUUGUCUCCAAUCUAACCCAGGAUAUUUUUUUGUUAAUGCUUCUUUUGUGUGUAUAUUUGGUGAAAUGAAGGACCAGAAGGCAGAUCUGGUUAGAUCAUAGGGUGAAGACUUUACCCCAAGUCAACCAAAUCAAAACACCAUUGCAAGCUGAUCUCCAAGUCAAUACGCAAAAUAUCAAGAAUAUCGACGGCGAGCUCAAGGAUGACCAUUUGGCAGGAUCUGAGGUAAUGCAAAAAUUGCUCGAAAAAUUAGAUCUACAAUCAUAUGAGUCCACGCAAAAUUUUCUUUACAGAAAACUAGGCCUACUAUUAUACGAGGUAAUCUAAUGCUUACAAAUCUAAUUACUAAGUUUGAUUUCAUGAUCUAAAUCUCCAAUUUAAUUUUCUAACUUGGUUUUUCAAGAGUUCGAGAAUGAAUUGGAGCUGGUAUGCAUAUUUCUUAUCAUCGAUAUAAUUUCUUGUUUUUAGACCUAGCAAAAGCCAUUUUCAGCCAUCUUACUUGGAUUCGAGUGUUACUAUCAAAUGUGAAUUCAUAUACAUAUAUUCUCUAUAUGUCUAUGUUCAACUUUUUCCAAGUUCUUUCAUGUAUUCCAAGGAAUCUUGGAUGAUCAUAUCCGAACAUGUAUCAGUACAUUAGUCAUUUAUAAAUCAUAUUAUAAUUAUAAUGACAUUUUAUACUAGAGUAGUUUUUUAGACCUAGCAAGAAGCCGGAUACGGAUUCAUGUCUAACGCGAGUGUGUUUAACAUUUUGUAAGUUUUUUAAAUGAUUUUGAUGAAUCUUGGAUAGCCAUAUUCUAUACUUGUACCCGAAUAUGUGUCGAACACAUAUACUUCAAACAAAAUGAAUUGUCCAAACAAUAUGUACAGUCGGCGCGAUUAGACCUAUUGAACCUAUCGCGUAAGACUCCAAAUUUUGCAUUAAAAAAUGUACUUAUUCUUGAACCCUUCUGUGCUAAUAUUUACAAAUCUAAUUACUAAGUUUGAUUUCAUGAUCCAAAUCUCAAAUUUUAACUUUCAAACUUGGUUUUUCAGGACUCGGAAAAAAGCGAGUUUACCAACUGGGCUUCUUACAGUAUGUCUCAAUGUCUCAAGUAAUUCUUAAACUUGCCCUUGUUUUCCAUCUUUCCUUCUCAAUCAUUUAUUUUUAUCUCUCUUAAAUUUCAGGAUUAUAAUGUGAAGACACUGAGAAAAGAGGUAUAAUAUAUAUAUACAUACUGCAUUGAACAUCAGCUGGCUUAACUAGCAUUCGAGAACAUGGAUGGUGUAAGGUAUCUGAGAGAACACACACAUACACUACAUUGAACAUCACUCGGUCUAACUAGCAUUUGAGAGCAUGGAUGGUAUAGGCUAUAUGAUAGAACACAUAAAUGUAUCAAACCAUGAAUUUGUUCAGUGCAUAUUAGUAAAUUCAUAUCUUUUAUGUUUUUCAAAUACAUCACAUUAAAUCUCAAUCCUAUACAAUCGGAUCCAAAUCCAGAAUUUGAAAAAUUCAUGUUUCUAAUAUGGAUCUUUUUUGUGUGUUUAUUGUCUUAGCUGGUUUUCUUUGGCGUAUGCUCUUCCUGAAGAUCAUAAAAGUGGUAUGUCUCUUAGGUUUACAAUUACUAAUUUGAUGAAACAACUUCAUACAAAGACAACAACAAAGUGGAGUACGAAGACUUUCCAGGCUUAAAGGAUACAUUACAAAAGACUGCCAGGGGGAAAUUCCAGACUAACUCAAACCUAUUGGGAUCCGAAUAGAAAUUGCUCAUAGAAAAGCUACUGAAUUUUCCCAUACUAGAAUACAAAUUCUGGUCUCCGCGAUAGAAGAUAUGUUACUUGAGGAUUUGGACUAGGGUACAUUGAAAAAGUGGGUAGCAGCGCUCAAUUACGCUAAUGAACAUGGUUUUCAAGUAGGAAUUGUUGAUAAUCUGUUGCGGAAGAAGAUGGUUGACUACUUUCUGAGCUGCCAUGGUUGUAAAUCAAAGGAUUAUAGUUAAUCCGGUAUCUAAUAUUCUGCUAUGUUUUAAUGUCUCAUUCUAUAUCAAGUACUUGUUAUGUUAUGUUUGAACUUUACGGUGAAUUGUUGUAUUGAGUAUGUUUUUGGGUCAUAAUCGUGUUUAAUUUGUUUAAUCAAUUUAAUCAUAUGUGUCUCAUAUAUCAUGCUUACAUGGAAAAUCUAAUCCAUAUAAUAUCUAAAUAAAUCUUUGGGUAAAUUACAAAAAUAGUCACUUUUGUUUGUCUCAGAUUACAUUUUAGUCACUUAUGUUUGAAAUGUUACGUUUUAGUCACUUACAUUAUCGUUUUGUUACGAAGUGGUCACUCUACUGUUAAACUCCGUUACCUCCCUAACGGUAGUCUUGCGUAGCAAUCCAAAUGGGUUUUAAAUGCCAACUUUGAUGUCCAGUUGCUGGGAUGAAAAUAUGUUUUUAAUUAAAUAAAUAUAAUUUGGACUACCACGUAUGACAUCUAAGUUGAUAUUUAAAACUUAUUUGGACUGCCAUGUAGGAUUGUCAUUAGGGGGUAAAUGAGUUUAACGGUAGUGUGACCACUUCGUAACAAAACGAUAACUUAAGUGAUUAAAAUGUAAUCUAAAGUAAACAAAAGUGAUUUUUAUAGUUUACCCUAAGUCUUUGGAAUGUAAAAGGGUAGUUUUAAAAUUUUGGAGUAUUAAUAAGAAUCGCAUUUUCAAUUAAACAAAAUUUGAUAAUAAUUUAUUUUAAUUUGAUUAAAUUCUCAUUAAUACUCUACUUCAAUUUCUCAAAAUUUUAAACUUUCAUAGUAAAUUUUACUUAAAUUAUUUAUUUUUCAUUUAACUUUCAUAAUAAAUAAUUAUUAAUUCUAUAUUUUUUUCAUAAAACUUUUAAAAUUUCAUAAUAAAUAUUAAGAAUGGAUGCAAAGUAGAACUGAUAAUAGGCCGGCCCGAGUUUGGGUCAGGCUUGAACAAAUUAAAUUUUAGACAUAUUUUUUAGGCCCCAACUCGGCCCAAAAAGUGUGUCUAAAAUUUUGCUCAAGCCUGACCUAAAUAAAAAUGUUAAAACCUUAGCCUGAUCCGUAUUGAAAUUUUUUAUAUAAAAAUAAGUUAAAAAAUAUAAUACAUCAAAUUCACUUAAAAAUAUUAAAAUAAAUAUUUUUCAACAAAUUAAAAAUAAAUUUAAAAAUAUAAUACAUCAUAUACACUAAAAAUAUUAAAAUAAAUGUUUCCCAACGGAUUAAAAAUAAAAUUUAAAAAUUUUUUAUAAUUAAAUAACACUAAGAUAAGUGUUAUACAAUAUCUAAAUAACAAUAAUAAAAUAGUAGUAAUAUAAUAGUGAAAUAACAUCAAAACAAUGACAAAAUAGUAAAAAAAUAGUAAUAAUUUUUUUUUUUUUGCAAAUUUGGGUUUGGCUAGGCCAAAACGAAAAAAAAAAGUUUAUCCGAGACUUGACCAGUUUAGAAAAUGAGCUUUAUUUUUUUGUCCAAAUCCAUUUUUUGAAUGGACCUUCAAAUCGAGCCGGAUGACCCAGUCCAUGAUCAAGUCUAAUACAAAAUAAAAUUAUCUUCAAUUUUAUUAUUUUUAUUUCCAGCUAUUAUUCUUCUAGGUUCAUGUUUUUAUUUUGUUCAUUUCUAGUUUUUGGUUGUUUUUAAAUUCUCAAAUUCAUCAUAAUCUUAUAUUAUAAUGACUAAAAAAUAUUAGAUCUCAAAUGCGAGAAUAGUAGAGGGACCUAAAUUGAAAAAUUACCAUUAUUUUAUCAUGAUUAAAUCCAAACUGUGAGCAUAGUAGAGAGAUCAAAAUUACAAUUUGAUCAUUAUCUUAUAAUGAUUAAAAAAUUUAAUCCCAAAUGUAAGCAUAGUGGGGGACCAAACUUGAAAUUUUACCAUAUCUUAUCAUGCGAUUAAAAAAAAGAACAUGUGUCAUGCAAAGGCUCCCUUUUUUAUAUACUAGUAUGGUUCUCAUCCUCUGCUUUGAGUUGAUUUAUUUAUUUAGUGAAAUUUGUAUAUAUUAGUAUAAUUAUUUAUUUGUAUCAAAUUGUAAAAAUUAUAAAAAUAUUGGAAAAUUUAAAAGUUAUAAUAAUCUCUACAAUUUUAUUAAAAACAUAAAUUAGAAGAUGCCAAAAUAGAAAUAACUUGGGAAAUUAUUAUGCCAAGAUAACUUAUAAAAUGGAUUAUGACAGGAGAGAUGAUUUUUUUGAAGAUAUAACAGAGGGAGAUGGUUAAUAACAACAUUAAAACAAAACCCAUAAAUAACCUAAUCAACCACAAACUAAAAUUUUUGCUUCCAAAAUGGAUUACCGGGGUACGUUGUAUGCUAGGCAAAGUCGUUUUCAAGUGACACUUGCUGAUGAAUUACUGAGGAAGAUUUUUAAAGCCUACAUUUAUGAUAAUUUUACAUUUUGGUGGUGAUUUUGGCGAGUUCAAAGAUGGUCAUUUGGCAGAAUCUGAGGUAAAUUUUUUUAUUAUUUUCUUAAAGUACUUAAUUUUGAAUACAAUAUUUUAGGUUGAUUUUUAAAUUAGGAUUAGUCGAGUGAGUUAACCUCUAGAUAUACCUAUAUAUAUUGCAUUGAGCAUCAACUUGCUUAAGUAGCAUUUGGGAACUUGGAUUUCAAAACAUGGAUUUGGGUUUGCAAGCUAACAUUUAUGACUAUUUCACAAACAAUAAUCAGAUCCUAUUGGCACUGUUGCUAAUGAUUCUAUUGGCAUCGAAGCAUCUAAAAAUUAGGGCUAAAAAAUAAGUGCUGAACAAAGGGCAAAUCUAAAAAUUCUUUUUAGGAGGGUUGAAAAUUAAUUAUAAUUUUUUGAAAAAUUAAAAUAUAAGUAUCUUUGAAGGGAUUGAUUUUUUGUUUAUUUUUGGGAGUCAAAUGUAAUUUCACCAUUUAUUAUUUUAUCAUUUCAUUAUUUAUGAUGGGAUUGAAAUAGAAAGUUUUCAUUUUUUGAGCCUGCCUGCUCAUUAAAUACGCCCCUGGCUUCGGCAGUUACCACCAUGCUACAGCUCCUUGACCUUUUCCUUAAAACUGGUUAUGGCAUGAUGAAGGAGGCAGCGGAAGCGGCAAUAGUGAUUUGACGCAAUUGACGGUUGGAGACUGUGGAGAUGAUGUUGACUCUGAUCCUGGCCUUGAGCCAAAACUCCAUUUUAUGCUAUGAGCCUAGGUGCUUCCUUGUAUUGAGCUUGAAAAUCCACCACUGCCACGAAACCCAAUGCUUGGCCCUUAUCAUCAAGGAGUCCCAAUGAGCCCUUGGUGGCGCCGACAAAAUCACUGCCCGUUGAAGUUACGAAGGCUAAAUCGCCACCGAUAGAAGAUAGGUUGAGGUUACUGAUAGAGAAUGAGAAGAAAGUGGAGAAACUACAAGGUUUGCGAGUUCCGAGUUGUUGGAAUCUCACCGGUUUUGAAUAUAAAGCUCUGCCGGCAUUAAAAUCCAGUACUUAAAGGUCGCGAGUGAGCCUGAUUCUCCUGUGGCUUAAGUGAGCAUCGCCGAGCUGUUUCAAACCGCCACAAGAUGCGUCGAUGCCUAUAGAAUCAUGGGCCACGGUGCAUUUGAGACUACUACGUUAGAAACUGACACCGGAGGCUUACAAAUGCUAAUGUCUCAAAUUUUUUAGGGCCUCAUUUAAAUUAAAUUAAAUUAAAUUAAAUAAAUUAAAAGUUUUGGUUUAAAUUGUUUCAUUAAAAUAAGUACAUUAAAAAUGUGGUUGAUGUCUUGAUGAGUAAACUAUUUGUUUACAAAUGAAUGUUAGCUUUCAAUAUGGAAAUUUAAACUAAUUAAAAUUUGGUUUUAGAAAUUGAAGAAAAAAAAUACAUUUAGGGUUGCUUAAAAGUGAAUUUUAUAAAUCACAUUAUUUUUUCUAUUAUAAUUUUAAUAUUACUCUUUAUAUUGAAGAUUAAUUUUUUGAGAUUCAUAAUUUUUUUUUUUGAUAAUGUUUGAAUUCUAAGAGUGCAAUAUAUCUUAUAAUUGUAGCUGAUAUUUGUUGGUGAUCUUUCUGUAUGCAAUAAUUAUCUUUCGAUUUUUUUUCUAUACACAAUACUAAAAACUUAAAACUUUAAAUAUUGAACUUUCUAUCACUCGAUACCAUUUCAAAUGGUAAUGACAAGCAAUGUUGAGAGCUAAAAGAGUUAUUUUAUCUUUGAUAUUGUUAACAUUGGAAAAAUCAAAAUUUUUAAAUAAAAAAAUACAAAAAGAACUUGAUGUCUCAAAAUUAAAAUAUAAGGAUUAAAUUUUAACUUUAGAAAGAGUAUAAAAACUUUUGCAUAUUUAAACCGAAAAAUAACAUCAACAUGAAACAUAUCAAUGUCUCCAAAUCCAUGUAAUAGAAAUUAUUAACCUAUCAAAGUUUCAUGCAAAUACACAACCUCUCAAAAUAUGGUUAUAACACAACAAAAUAUCCAAACGCAAUACAAUUAUAUUACUUGAAUUUAGGUGCGAGUUUUGGAUAUAGAUAUUUAUCUGUCAUGGGUGUGAUUAGCUUUUCUAAGUUCUUCUAUAUACUUAAAAGAAUAUUCAGAGAGUCGUAUCCACAUAUCUGUGUGUUGAACAUGGGUACUUCAUGAAAAAUGAAGACUGCAAGCAGCAAAGCAACACAGACACAUGAAUUCAAAUAUCAUAAAAUUUUGACUUAAGUCGCAAUUUAACCCUUUAACCCUUAAAUUAUACUUCUUUUUCAGUCGCAUCUAAUAGUUUUUGAGUAGCAAAGUAGGCAAGCAACUUGGUCUUCAACAGAUUAUCAGCAAAUACCACUUGAAAACCAAGUUGCUUAGCCAUAUUGAGAGUUGCCCCCCACUUUUUCAAUGUAUCCCACUCUAAAUCUUCAAUCCGAAAAUCUUCCAUCUCUUUGAUUGCAGCGCAAACCAGAACUUGAAUACCGAUAUGAGAAACUUCGGCAGCUUUUCCACGAGCUUUUUCGAUUCGGAUCGCAAUAAGUUCGAGGUAGUCCGGAGGUUUUCCCCAGGCAAUAGUGUUAUCCAAUGCUUGUUGUAAGCCAUGGAAGUCUUUAACAGAAACUUUGUUGUUGUCUUUUCCGUAAAGUUGGUUUUUCAAAUCAUUAAAUGAAGAACGUAAUUCUUCACGAGUCGGCAAACUUCCCCCAUCAUGGUCAGUAGCAGCAACUUCUUUCAUCAAUGGAUAUGUAGAAUAAUGCUAAAAUAACAUGGAAAUACAUUAGUGCUACCUUUUCAAAAUAAGAAUUUCGAAGUUUCGGAUUUUAUUUACUGCAUAAAUUGCUAUUAUAUGAUUAUGUAAAAGUUUCAGAAUAGAUCAAUUCGUGUUCGACAUGAGUUUGGACAUCGGUUUGGAAUAUGACCCUCCAAGUUUCUUAAAAUACAUGAAAAAUAUAAAAAAAAAUAUUGAACAUAUUCAUGCUAGACAUGAACCCACACCCGAAGCUCAUACCUAGAUCCAACUAAUAUAGUUGAAAACGGCGUUUUGCUAGGUCUAUAAAAAAGUCUAGUGCAUGAGGAAGAAAACUUUUAAAAGAAUGUUUAAUAUAUUCGCUUGUAGACUUAUUUAUCAGUUAAACUAUUUACCCCAAUCUAAAAAUUUGAAAUUUAAAAAGAUUUAGACAAAAAUAUUAUGUCACAAAAUAAAUUUGAACAAAAGAAUUAAACCCAUUUAAAAUAUGGGAUGGACUUGGACUCGAAUAUUAAGGCUCAAGUCUAGUCUAGUCCAACCCAACUCCACCUAUUUUUCAUGUUUAUAAUAUAAUAUACUAUAUAAUUUAUAACACAUAAAACUAAAUUUAUAGUAACAUAUAAUACUAUAAUCUAAAUAUUAACAAACAAUAUAAAAAUAUUUUUAAAUUUUAAUAAAUAAAAAAGUUAUAUAAAAAUAAUAUAAAUAUAUAUUUUUAAAAAAUUAAAAAAUAAUAUUUCUUAAGUCGAAAGAAAGUGUUUAUAUCAUAUUUAAACCCAAAUCUAGUUCUAAAAACAAGUCUAGGGGAUAUAGAGUCAAAGAUUAUAAUUAUAAUGAUAUGAUUUGUUAAAAGAAAAUGUUCUAUCUUUUGCAAGAAAUAAUAAUGCUAUAACAGUCAAUAUUGAUGUCAAGAGUGCUGUGUACCUUAUAUCAAGGACAAAUGCCACAAACAUCUUUGACUUGUUCAAAGUCCUGUAAAACCAAGUCAAAUUAGAAAUUGAGAUCAUGAAAUUGCGAACUUUGUAAUUACAUCUGUAAAUUAUUAGUGUACCUCAAGGUGUUGAUCUAAUUGCUCGAUUUCCUUUCCUACUUCGAGCAAUUUCUGCUUAGCCUCGGCUUCUGUUAAUCGGUCUCCUUUGUAAUCUUUCUGUAUUUUCGUGAUAUUUUCCUUAAAUUUUUUGAGAUUAGAACGGAAUGAUUGCGCUUCGAAUCGGUCGAAGGAGACGAAAACUUGCGGUAAGAGAUGAGAGGCUCUCAUGGCCAUCAUCUUGUAUACCAACUCCGCAUCUGCUAUCUUAACCUUUUAUGUCACCAAAUAAACACAAAAAACAAGUGUUAAAACAAACAUAUAUGUAUAAGAAACAACAAUAAGCUCUUUCGGUCGAUUUGAUCGAUUCGAUCAAUUAAAGUUUACUUUGUUUACUCUUCGGUCGAUUCGAUCCAUUAAAAUUUUAGCGGCUUUCCUUACAGUUUUCACCACAAUAAGCUCUUUCAAAUUAUCUUCUCUCGUUUUCGGUUGUUGCCGGGAAGCUGAUGAUUCGCCGGUUCUCCGGUGCCGGGUGCCUUUUCUUUCAGCUUCCAAUAAGUCGUCGGAAACUAAUUCUCGGUUUCGCUUCUUGCUUCUGCUCGACAUUGAGCUCGUCGAGUUCACGUGAUUAUCAUCGGACGGCGAUGGUGGUCCGAUCGGACAAUAUUGUGUUAUAGGUUCGACAUCAGAAUCGCAAUUUUCGCCGGGAAACCAAUCUAGAAAAAUGUCGGUGAAAAAACUGUCCUCGUUGCUCAUGUUGAACGGAUCUGUGAAAUUUAAAUCAGAUCAGAUCAAAAUCAUUCCCAAAUUAGAACAAAAAAUAGAAAGAAACAAAGAAACCUCCAAAAUCAGCAAAAUAAAGAAAAAAAAAGUAUAGAAAUUAAGUAAAAAUAAAUUUAACUCAGAUCAGAUCAAAUAAUUGAAAUACUAACUGUUUUUUCUCCCAAUUUAGAACAAAAAUAGAAAGAAAUAAGCAAGUCAACCAGCAAUGAAAUGUUCUUUGAAACUACGAAAAUUUCCUCAAUCAAUUAAAGAAAUCGCCAUUAAAAAGAGGAAAUUCAGCAAAAUCAAAGAAAAAAAGUAUAGAAAUUAAGUAAAAUGAAUUAGAAAUUUCGGUAACACUUACUAUUUCGAUGCAGUGAAGAGAAGAGAGGAGAAAAAUGGCUACCGAAGUGUUAAAAAAGACAAGAAAGGGAAGAAUGUCAUUGGUGGAAAAUUUAAUUAAAAAAGAAAAUAAGGUUAAGCGCCAUUAGAGAAAGCGCCCAAUUUGUCGUUCGUGUAUGUAGAUGAAGUUUUCAGAAUUCAUCCAACCAUUAAAUUAUUUAUUUUUUAUUCUAUCGAUUUUUUUCAUUUUGAUUGAACAAAAUAAAAAUAAAUUAAGAAUAAAAAAAUUUGCUUGAACUGAUUGCAGUCAACCGAUUCAAUUGCCUGAUUCAAUUAAUUCGAUAAAUUUAUUAGUCAAUCAUUUGACCUCUUUUUCUAAAUUAAUAUAUUGAUCUCAUCUUGACCAAAUUAAUCCGAUUGAUUAGUCUAAUCCAAUUCUGAAAACAAUAAUAUACAUUUUAAGUGUAAAAAUCAAGGCGACUUUGCGAAUAUAGAUGUAACAAUGGUGAAGUAGGUCUGUAUUUGCCCUUUCUGAUCCCAACUUGAUUAUAUAUCUAACAUUGUCCAAUUUUGAUUUGAUUUGAAAUUAAAUAUUAAUUUAAUUAUUUCAAUUUUGAUAAAAAAAGUCAAAGAUAUAUUCAAAUUUGACUUUAACUUAAUUUGAUAUGAUAUUUUUUUUAUACUUUUAAUUAUAUAAAUAAUAAUUUUUAACUUUAAUUAUUUUUAACGAUACUAUAAAUUGAUUUUUAGGUAAAAUUAUAUUAGAGCAAACAUUAAUAUAAAUUUUAUUAUUGAAUUUCUAUCAUAAUUGUACACAAGAAAACUACAUAUUUAAAAUACAGGUAUACGUUUAAAAAUUACUUAUGAUAAAUAAAAAUGUAUGAUUUAAAAUUAAUAAUAACAAUAUAUAUGCAAUAUAUAUGAAAUUAAAAUUAAAAAAUAGUUUAAUUUGUGAGUAAAAGAAAAUUUAAAUAGAUAAAUAUAUUAUAUUAAAAAUAUUAAAUACACUCAAAUUAUUUAUCAUGAUAUUGUCAUUUUUCUAUACACUUUAAAAUGUUAUAAUGUUGAUGAAAAAUAUUCAAUACAAAAAAUAUAAUUAUAAAAGUUAAAUAUUAAAUUAAUUCGGGACACAAAUUCAAUCCAUGGGACUAUUAAUAUAAUAAAAAUGCGGGUCAAAAUUUUUGGUGGUAAAAUUGAGGUUUUAUGUUUGUUAAUUGCAUACAUUCCAAUAAAAGUAACCAUUGUAAGAAAUAUAACUUAUUUGAAAUAUAAGGGUAAUUUAAUAUUUUCCUCAACCGAGUUGGCGUGUGACUCCCGAUUUCUCUUCAUUUAUAAAAAAAAAAAAAAAGAAGAAGAAGGAAACAGAGCAGAGAACCCCAAGCAGUCAAACAAAGUUAGAAAGACAUCUCGCGAAAGGUAAGAAAUGUUUUUAUCUUUUUUUAUGCUUUAAAAUUGGAUAAAAAAUAAUUGAAAAACAAAGAUAUUUAAUACGGGGAAGAGUCAGACAAUUGGCACGCGUAAUAACCAAGUCAUUUUCCAAGGGCGUUUGGUUUGUCGACUGAGUCAGACACAAUCGGCAUUUCUAGUUUUGUUUUAGAUAUGUUGAAAGCAUGAUUUUUUUAAAUUUGUUAUUAACUAUUUUGAGUAAUUAAGUUUUAUGGUUGCACUUUGUUUAUUUUGAGCAAUAUAUAUUAACUUAAGUUUAAUAUAUAAUUAUAUAAAUAAAAUUCAAUUUAGUAUAAUUAUAUACAUAAAACUCUAAUUGUAGUUCAAAUGUAUAUUUAAAAAUUUAAGCAUAUAUAUUUAAAUAAUGCAUCAAUUUAUUUUUAUAUUAGAUAAAUAUAAUUAUUUAUGUAUGCAAUAUAUAAAUAUAAAAUGAUAUUAUAUCAAUAAUUGUAUUAAUAAUUUACAAGAAUUGGAUCAAAUUAAAAUUUCAUGUAUAAAAUUACACAAAAUUAAAGCUCAUGUAUAUUAUUACACAUUAAAUCAUAGUUCAUGUAUAGUUUUGAUAUUUAUCCCUUGUUUUUAUUUAAACUUUGAUCUUAAUUAUUUUGAUUUAGUUACAUGAUCUUGGAAAUUAGAAAUCAAGUUAGAUAAUAUUUUUUAUUUUAAUUAUUUUGUAAACACUAAUUAAUUUGGUUUUAAUUGUAAGUGUAGAUUAACUCUGAUUGAUUUUACAUUAUACAAUAUUUAGCAAAUAAUUUUCAACUUUUUAAGUUCUAAACUACUAUACUUAAAAAUUGGAGAUAAAAAAUUUUAAAUUUUAAAUUUAAAAUUUAAAAUAAAAACUUAUCAAUAAGAAUGAGUGUAAUAGCCCGUUUCCAGUGAAAUCGGAACAAUAGUUUCGGGACCACAAAAUUGAGGUCAUAAAUUUUUUUUAUAUUCUUGGGAGGUCUACAGGAUGUUAGAAAUAUGGUUUAAAAAUUUCGUUAAGAAAUUUUACCGUUUGAUUCCUCAAUUUGUGAGAAAGGUCUAAAUCGCAUAAAGUGCAAAAGUUAUGUUCUAUUAGCUAAAGGUAUUAAAUAGCUAUAGAACUUUAAUGUGGAGGUCCUUAGAUGGUAAUUAAGCCAUAAAUAAUGAUUGGGGCGGCAUAAUGACUGAAAGUGAAUUAAAUAGUAUAUUUUCAAUGGCAAUUUUGUAAUUAAAGUGAAAUUAAAACAAAUUAAAGUGAGAGUAAAGCACUUUAAUUUCAUUUUCCUCUUCUUCACUUCAACGAACAGUAGAGCUAUGGAGGGGUUUUAGUUUUGGCUUAUUUCUUUUAUAGGUGAGUAUCGUUUGUCCCGUUUUUAAUAAUUUUUAUAUUUUCGGGAUCGUUGUAACUUGAUCUAGCUAAAUAGGGGACUAAUUUGCAAUAUGAUUUGAAGUAUAGAUUUUUGCCAUGUGAGAUUAUUGGCUGUUUUUGAGGUUUAAUGGAAGAAAAUGAAUCCUUGUUGUUGAUUAUACAACUUUUGUUAAAUGAUUUUUAGUGUCAAAUAGGGAUUAAAUUGAGAAAUAUGAAAAUUACGUGUUAACAUGUGAAAUUGUGAAAAUUAUAUGCUGUUGUAGGCUUAUAAUAUAUUCAGUUAGGCUUGAGUUGGAUGAAAUUGCAUGAAUUUUGUUUUAUGAGCCUAGGGACUAAAUUGUAAAGAAGUUGAAAUAUUCGGGGCAAAAAUAUAAUUUUUCCAUAAAGUGAAUUAUAGUUUGUUUUUGGUACCAUAAACAUUCGGCUAAGCUCAGUUGUGGUUAAAAAUGCUUAAUUUGCAUGUUUUGAGCUCAAGGACUAAAUUGAAUAAAAGUGAAAUUUUAGGGGUAAUUUUGUAAAAAGAUUAAAAGUAUAGGGGUAAAAUAGUAAUUUUUCCAUGACAUGAUAUUGGAUUGAAUUGAAUGAGAUGAGUAUUGAAAUAGUUAAAUGUGAUGUUUUAGAUCAAGAUUUGACUAGGGUUUCAGCAAUGAUUCUGAAAGGCUCAGGUGUGGUUCGGCAUCGAAAUCGUAUCAGGUUUGUACCCAAAACACAAAACACGAGGUAUAAGCAAAAGCUGAGAAAAGCCACUAUUGACGCCACAUAGCCGUGUAGUAGGCUGUGUGGUGGGCCGUGUAGUGGCUCGAGUGUGGCCGUGUGGGCCAUACGAGCAUAUGGGCCCUAUACUAGCAUAUGGGCCCCACACGAGCAUAUAGGCCCCACAUGAUCAUAUGGGCUCCACACGAGCAUAUGGGCCCCACACGAGCAUAUGGCUUCUACGCGGGCACGUAGACCCUACAAGGGUACUUAAGCCCCACACGAGCACGUGGGCCCCACAUAGGCAAGUGGGCCCUACAUGGGCAUGUGAGCCCAAUUAUCUGAAUUUUUUCCUAGGGUUGCACGGGCCGUCCUAAACGAUUGUAGGCCUGCAGUAAGAUUCUGUUUAUUGAUUAAUGCAUGUCUGCUACUGAAAUGGGCUAAGGCCCAAACUGUUACUGAUACUGAAAUGGGCUUAGGCCCAGACUGCAUUUGACUGAUUGUUGUGAUUGACUGAGCAGGUCUGAUUACUGAUCCGUAUGACUAUCUGUUAUCUGUUUAUAAAAUCAUGUUAAGCAUGAUUAUCUGUAUCAGCAUGUUAUGUUGCAUUGCAUGGGUUGAGAUUGUUAUUUUUGAGGAAGUGUAAUGUACUGAUAUGGUCCACGGGUCGCACAAGACGACUGUGGACCUAUUGAUGGCUUUAAGCCAUUCAUAUUACUGGUAGCUUUGCUGCAAUAUUAUUUAGUGCCACAACCGGUGCUAAUUUUGGUGUGUACGGAUGGAUGGGUCGAUUUUAUCCCCACAUGGUGUGUAAGGUUGGUACGGAGAUUGUGUGUAGAGGUUGGAUUGGUAGGACCUGCAUACUGUUUACUGUUGCUGCACUGUUUACUGUUACUGUAAUGGGCCAAAACCCGAGUAUAUGACUGCUUCUGUAUUAAGAUGGGCUAAAGCCCAAACUGAUUUUGCCACUGUACUGAAAUGUACUGUUCUAAGGUUGCAUGGGUCGCCCAAUAUGACUGUGAACCUACUGUAGGGUCGGUAAACACUACUUAGACCCUUAAAUGCGUGAACUGUAUGUAUGACGUAUGUACUGAACAUGAUGACUAUAUGAACUGCUACUGAAACUGAAAUGGGCUAAGGCCCGAAUUGCUACUGAAACUGAAAUGGGCUUAGGCCCAUACUGCUUUUGACUGUUUGUUGUGAUUGACUGAAUGCUUGUUUUCUGUAGGGAUUACACACUGAGUUUAUGUAAACUCACCCCUUUUUGUUUUAUCUGUAGAAGAAAUCCCCAUACUUAGACGGAUCGGUGUGGCGGAGCCUCUUGGUGACCACAUGUUCAAACUGAUUGUGAUUUUGCACUUAAUAAUUAAAUGCUGAUUAUUUUGGGUUUUAUAUUAUGUAAUGCGGUCUUUACGGACUGUUUUGUUUUGAUUCAGUUGUUUAGACUGCGACUUUAUGAUUACAUAAUUGAAAAAAAAAAACUCAGAUUUUAUCGAAAGCAAGGAUUUUCUAAAAACUUGCAUGAUUUUCUAAACAUGAACGAUUUUACUUAUAAUAAGCUUCCGCUAAAAUGAUUUGUUUCGAGGCAAGUUGAUUAAUUGAAUAUAUGUUUUGAAUUAAAUGAAAGCAACUAAGGAAUUAUGAGUGUAAGGUUUUAUUGAGCUUCGUUUUCAAAAUUCCUUCCUUGUGACACCGCCAGAUUAGGCCAUAACUGCUAGGCCGGGUUUGGGGUGCUACAAUGAGAGAUCCCACAAGUUAUCAUUUUAUUUGUGGAAUAUCGAGAACAUUUUAUUCAAUAUAAAAAUAACCUUAACAAUCUAAUGGCUAUUUUCAUUAUACAAUGGUUGGUGUGAUGUCAUAUGUUUGUUAUAAUUUAAGGGUUUAAAUGAUUUUUUAAUAAUUUUUAAGUUUUAUAAUUUAUUAGAAUUUUUGUAAGUUUUUUACAAAAUUUAAAUAAUUUUAUUAGUUUUAUAUGAUUGUUUAUAAUUUUUAUAAUAUUUAUAAGUUUUUAAGAUUUUAUACAUUUUUCCAAUUUUUAUAAGUUUAUAUUAGUUUUAUUUUUUUAAUAUUUAAUAUUUUUAUGAUUUUUUUAAUAAUAUCUAUAUGUUUUUUAUAAAAUUUUAUAAAAAUAUAUUUUUAUAAUUUAUUAGAUUUAUUAUGUUUUGAUAAUAUUUAUAAGUUUUAUUAUUUUUUAAAAAAUUAUACGUUUAUAUAAAUUUUAAUAUUUUUAAAUAUUUAAUAUUUUUUCUAUUUUUUCCUAUUUUUAAAAAUAAAUUUUAAUGAUUUUUUUAUAAUUUAUUAUGAUUUUUUAAUGUUUUAUUAUAAAAUAUUAUAUUAAAUUAGAAGUUGUCAUGUGUCAUCAUCUGAUUGGCCUGUCAGUUUAUUUUAAUGAUAAUAUGGUCAACCACAUAUUCUAUUGAUAAAAGGACUUAAUUGAUUAUUUUAGAUAAUGGCAAGAAUUCAAUUGAAUGUAAUUUUAAUAUAUAGAGACUUGAUUGUUUUUUUUUCAUAUUUUCUUAAAUGCAUUUUUCACACAUAAAUUCUUUUUUUUUUUUGGUGAAAGAAAAGAAAUACAAAGUAAAAAACUUAGACCCUCAAAGGAGGAUAUUCAAACAAUCUUAAACCAAGACUUUUAGUAUGAACUGACUUAGCCAGACUAUCAGCAAUUAAAUUUUCCUCUCGGGGAAUAUACUGAAUUUUUCACUGCUCCAUUUUCCUCAAGAUAAGAUGAAUUUUUCGGACCAAGGAAGAGCUAGAGUUUUCCGAAGAAUCCUCCAAGAUGACAUUAAUGGCUUCAAUAUUGUCAGUUUGGAUUAGGAUUUUCCCAAGCGCCUAUACAGGAUAAGGUUCAGCCCAUCCAGUAUACCCUAAAGCUAUGCUUCCAAAACGGUGCAAUUGCCCAAAUAUUUGGCGAACCCAAUGAUCCAUUCACCAUUAUGAUCUCUCACACAACCGCCAUCCACAGCGAAGCCUUCAUCAAACUUCACCGAACCAUCUGUGUUCAAACACACCCAGCUAUUAGGUGAAGGCCAAUUAUGAAGAUGACUUCGUGCUUUAUGAGAUGAAGUCACUAAAAUCGAGGAAUAUUGUCUCGCCCAGCUAUAAGAGAUUUUAAUAUUUUCACCAGCACUUCACGUAAGACAUUAGAAAAUGAGCAGGUUUCAAUUUUUCCAAAUACGCUACACGAUAAUCCCAAAGAGACAUGGCCAAUCAAUUCCACCCCAAGAAGAAGAAUGGCUCUGGAGAUUGUUCUUCAUCCAGUUGAGAAGAGAUUCAGAAUAGAAACUAGAAAGAUCCUGCUGUGGAAUGAGCAUGUCCCAAAUGCCUCUGGCAACAUUGCAAUAUCUAAGUAUAUGCAAAACAUCUUCAUGAUCAUGCCCACAAGGGCCACAUGCACUGUUACUCCCAAGACCUCGUCUUACCCUCUUAGCAUUUGUUAAGAGACAUUGUUUUAGAGCCAACCAGAUGAAAAACUGAAUCCGAUGAGGGCCUUGAAAUAUCCAUGGUAUUUCCUAGAGCCGAUCUUUCAAGUUGAAAAUGCCUUCACGAACCUUCUCAUAAGAGCUUUUGAGAGAGAAAGAACCAGUUGAGGUUGCUCCCCAAAUAAUCUGAUCAGGACUUGACGAAGGAUGCGGCAGUGGGACGCUUAUUAUUUUGUUGAUAAUUUCUUCAGGAACCCAAGGUCUGAAAAGAUCUAACUACCAUGAGCCAUCACCUUAGAAAUGGAUCUCCACAAAAGCAGUAGCAAAAGAAAGAAAAAGAAAAACAAUCCAUCUCACCUAUUUUUUGUCUUAUGAAUUUAUUAAGGUUAAAAUCUGGUAUCAUCCCCUGUAUUUUAUGAAAGUUAUGGAUUCAAUCACUGUAUUUUAAUUUGACCAAAUUUAGUUCUUAUACUUUUCAAAUUAAUAAAUUUUAGUCUCUAUACUUUUUUUAAUUUUGAAACUUUAAUCCUGACUCAAACAAUAGUAAUUAAAUUCAUUUGGUUAAAUUCAAUUAUUAAUCAUGUAUUAUGCAUGCAAUUAUAGAUUUAGUAUAUAUUUUGUAAUUGGAUCAUUUUAAAUCUCACCAUUUUUUUUGGAUUUUUUUUUUGUUUUUGAAAUCUCAAUAUUGACGCAAAUGACAACGAUAAUCCAUUAACUGAAUUCUUAAUGAGUAAAAUGUGAAAAUAACAAUCUAACAUGAUAUUAAACAUAUGAUAAUAUGUUUACCCCAUCAGAUUUUGAAAGUGACAAAACCUAAUAAAUUUAACGGUUAAUAUUUGAUGGGAUUGAAAUUUUAAAAUUUUAAAAAUAUAUGAAGUAAAAAUGAUUAAAUCGAACUAAAUCCAUUUUUAUAAUGUGUAGACUAAUAGCAAAAUUUAACUAUUUUUGCUUGCGAGCCAGGAGUUUGAUUGCCCCCGUCAUAGCAAAUUUUAAAAUAAUUCAGAAUCCAAUGUUAGAAUCUAAACAUGAAAAGUAUCCUAAACAAUCCGAACCCUUCAUUUAAAUCCUAACCAAUCCGAACCCUUCAUUUAAACCCUCGUUCGUCUAUAUAAGCAAUCCUAAACAAUCCGAAGCCUUCAUGUCAGUAAUGAAGCAACAAUUAGUUGGCUCCAUAUCAAGCUACUCUUGAAAGUCUCCAUGUCAAGAGCAUACUCUUGAAAGGCUCCAUAUCAAGCUACUCUUGAAAGUCUCCAUAUCAAAAGCCUGCUCUUAAAAGGCUCCAUAUCAAGCUACUCUUGAAAGUCUAGCCUGCUCUUAAAAGGCUUCAUAUCAAGCUACUCUUAAAAGGAUCUCGGGGGAUUAAUCGCUAAUCUUCCCUUUUCAACGCAUCGGCAGCCGGUCUUCUCACUUCGUCUCUUCACUUCUGUAGACAAAUCUAAGGAGUAAGUACUGCUUAAUUUACCAGCUCAUUUUUAUCGCAGUCUAUACAUUUCCUGCUUUGAUCUUGCAGAAUUUCUUCUUUAAUUACAUGAGUAAAUUUCGUUUCAUAAGGUUUCCUUUUGAUAUUUUAUAUAUUCGUUGUUUGAUAGAACAUUUCGGUGUGGUUGACUUUUGUUCUGAAUUGGAAAAAAAUGGAGUUUUUGUUUUGUUCAAUGAUCUAAAUCUGAUCUGAGUUAAAAGUUUCCCAGGUCUGUUCUAAAUGAGUGAAAACCAGGACAUCCCUCGCUCAAUUGGGAUUGUUUGGGACGCUGAAAGCGUGUAUGUAGAUGAAGCUUUCCGAAUUCAUCCAACCCAUUAAAUUAUCUAAUUUUUUAUUCAAUCCAUCUUUUCUAUUCGAUCCAAUAAAAUAAAAAUAUAUUAAGAAUAAAAAAAUUUGCUUGAACCAGUUUGAUUAUAGUUCAACCGAUUCAGUUAAUUCGAUCAAUUCAUGGGUCAAUCAUUUGACCCCUUUUUCUAAAUCAAUAUCUCUAUCUGUUGUUGAUUUAAUUGAUCCGAUUGAUGAGUCUAGUCUAGUUUUGCAAACAAUGCUGUACAUUUGAAGUGUAAAAAUCGAGGCAACCUUACGAAUAUAGAUGUAAUAAUGGUGAAGCGGGUGUGUAUUUACCCCUUCUGACCCCAACUUGAUUAUAUAUCCAACAUAAUUCGAUUUUAAUUUGAUUUGAAAUUAAAUAUUAAUUUAAUUGUUUAAAUUUCGAUAAAAAAUCAAAGUUACAUUCAAAUUUGACUUUAACUUAAAUUGAUAUGACAUUUUUUUAUAUUUUUAUUAUAUAAAUAAUAAUUUUUAACUUUAAUUAUUUUUAAUAAUACUAUAAAUUGAUUUUUAGGUAAAGUUAUACUAGAGCAAACAUUAAUAAAAAUUUUAUUAUUGAAUUUCUAUUAUAAUUGUAUACACAUGGAAACUACAUAUUUAAAAUAUUGGCAUGUGUUUAAAAAUUACCUACGAUAAAUAAAAAUGUAUGGUUUAAAACUAAUAAUAACAACAUAUAUGCAAUAUAUAUGAAAUUAAAAUUAAAAAAUAGUUUAAUUUGUGAGUAAAAUAAAAUUUAAAUAGGUAAAUACAUUAUAUUAAGAAUAUUAAAUGCACUCAGAUUAUUUAUCAUGAUAUUAUCAUUAUUCUGUACAUGUCAAAAUGUUAUAAUGUUGAUGAAAAAAAUUCAAUCUAAAAAAUAUAAUUAUAAAAAAUUCAAUAUUGAAUUAACUUGGGAUACAAAUUCAAUCCAUGGCACUAUUAAUAUGAUAAAAAUACGAGUCAAAACUUUUGUAUAGUAAUAUUAAAAUGUAUAAAAAAUAAAUAAAGCAUUGGCUGGAGUGGUAAAAUUGAGGUUUUAUGUUCGUUAAUAGCAUAAUUCAAACCAUUUCAUUUGUAAGUUUUUAUUGAUUUUGUUUAAAAAGUAAAAAGAUAAAAGUACCAUUAUAAGAAAUAUAACUUAUUUGAAAUAUAUAACUUUCCUCAACAGAGUUGGUGUUGAGUUGAUUUGUAACAUUAACUCAGUCUAAAAAGAAACAUCAUUGUCGACUAAGUUUUAACUUGAUUGGUAUGGGUAUUAUCAUUAAUAUAAGAGGACGUGGGUUUGAGUGUACUGAAACACAUCCUCCUCCUAUUUAUAGGUUGGAGAGAGAUGAACCUAUAAUGAGAUUGUUAAAAAAACUUAAUUUUACCAUUUUUAUUAAAAAUAGAAAUUAAAAAAAUCUCAAAAUAGCAAGAAAUUAUUAUGUCACGAAGAAAUCAAAUUCAAACCAACUAAUAUUUAACACGGAUAACUCAUCAAGUUAACUUUUAUUUUAAUCUUAGGCUCCGUUUAUUUUUACUGAAAAUAGUUUUCGAAAAAUAAUUUAUAACAUUUUUUGGUAUUUGGAUGAAUCUAUGUAAAAUAUUUCCUGUUGUUUGACAGAUUUCCUAAAAAUAUUUCAUAAAACCUUUUAUGAGAAUAAGAGAAUAAUUUUAUGUUGACUAGAAAACCUUUUAUGUUGACGAUUCUAUUUUAUAUGAAACAAACAUUGAAAAAAAGCUGAAACGAAAAAUUUUUAGUUGAAAUAAACGGAGUCUUAAUAUUAAAAUAUUUUAAUUCAAACUCAAAUUCAAGCUUAGACCUCAUAAUCAAACAUAAAUUUAAUUUAAUUUCUUACGAAAUCGACCAAUUCAAUUUAAGGCCUUAUUUUUUAGGGUGUUGAAAAGAAAUUCAAUGAACUGAAAAUUAAUAUUUUUAGCAAAUUAAUUUUUUAAACACAUCUGAUAACCCACAAUGAAAACUGUUAAAAUGUUUUUUUUACCAAAAAAAUGUAUGAACCAAUCUAAUUAUAUUUAAUAUUUAAUUUUAGUUAAUAUACCAAACAAAAUUUAUUACUUAAAUCCAACCCUUAGUUUUUCUUACUUAUUUUUUCAAUACUUAAUUUCUCAAUUUAUUGAACAUAGCAUUAGUUUCAAAUACCAUAAACAUCACACAUGAAGAAAAGUAAAUAUACAAAAGUCAAAGGACAAACACAUUGAAGGCAAUCUUAUGGUAGACUGAGCAGCAAGCUAGAACAGCAACACAAACAUUUGUUUUUGGGAAACUAAUUUUUUGCGGUCGAAUUGGGCAGAUUUUGAAUAACCAAAUAGGCAAGCAAAUUCUUCUUCAACAGUUUAUCAGCAAAUCCCACUUGAAAACCGUAUUUCUUAGCGUAAUUAAGCGUAGCGCCCCACUUUUUCAACGUAUCCCAGUCCAAAUCCUCAACCGGAAACUCUUCCAUCUCUUUGAUCGCAGCGCAGACCGGAACUUGAGCGGGGAUAUGAAAAACAUCAGUAGCUUUUCCUCGAGCUUUUUCGAUUCGGAUCGCAAUAGGUUGGAGGUAGUCUGGAGUUUUCCCCCAAGCAGUUUUCUUUAAGGCCUGCUCCAAGCCUAGGAAAUCUUUGUAUUCCACUUUGUUGUUGUCCUUGUCGUAAAGUUGAUUUUCCAAAUCACGGAGUUUAGAUAGUACUUCUUUUUCACGAGUUAGCAUACUUACACGAUCAUCGGUUGAAGUAACUUUUUCCGACCAUCGAUGUGCAAAAUAAAACUAAAACAGACAAAUAUGGAAAAGAAGUCAUAAGUUCAGAGCAAUGAAAUAAAUGCUGUGCUAACUCUGGAAACAAAGAUUUUGAAUACAACAUGGAUUGCUCACAAAUUGCUCGACUUUGACUAAAAAAAAUUUGAAUUUGAUUUGGUAAUUUUCGAGCCGAGUUUAAACUUGAGCAGCUUGAGCUAUUAAUAUCGAGCUGAAUUCGAGAUUAAUAAUACUUGAAUUGAACAACUCGUGAGUUAUAUCGAGCUUUUUCAUAUUUUUAUAUUAUAAAAUUAUGUUAUUGGCCUUAUUAUAUUAUUAAACUUAAGCUUAAUUAUUGAGCCAAUAUCAUGCUCGAAUAGCUCAAUUAUAUCUCAAGUCGAGUAUUAAAUUUCAAAUUUCGACUUGAGCUUGGGCUUGGCACUAUUUAGACUCGCUCGGCUCAAUUACACCCCUAUACAUGACUACAUAAAACUCAAUUGAGAAUUGAUGUGUGGCUAUGUAUUUGAAAUUUCAUGUUUGUUUUAUGUAAGUCCUCAAAAACCAAGUUAGAGAAUUAAAUUAGAGAUUUAGAUAAUGUAAUUAAACUUAGUAAAUAGAUUCUAAUCAUUGACGUACCUCUGAUCGUUGUCGAUCAAGUUCUUCAAUCUUCUCUCCGACUAGAAGCAGCCGCCGCUUCGCCUCGUCUUCUGCUAAUACAGCAUCCUUGUACUUGCGGUCAAUUUCUUGGAUCUCUUGCUUAAUCACUAGGGGAUCAGAUUGCAGCCAUUGCUUUUUGAAUUGGUCGAUAUAGCAGAGAAUGUGUUGAGAAGGUUUCGUUUCCAUGAUCUUUGUGAAUAUCGGCACAUCGUCGAGAAAUUGAGAAGCUUUCGUUUCCAUCCUCCUCAUCUCCAUGCCUUCCAACUUCCUUUCCCAAUAUUUUAUCUUGCCAUUCUUUUCACACAAAACAGGUGUGUCAAUGCAAGGGUUUGGACCAACUGUUAAGAGAUAUUACCAUUUCCAAGGAUUUUUGGACUAGACAGGGACCAUUUUGGAGAUAAAAACCUGAUUUUGAGGCUAAAUUUAUUAAACUAACUGAACACAAACAAAUUUUAAAAACAAACAAACAUGAAUAGAAACUAGUUCAUUCAAGUUCGAUUCAUUAUGGCUCUACUUGCAUCCUAAUCCUUUUACUGGGAUUAUUUUAGGUUUAUAAUAAUUAAAAAAAAUUACAAAUUCAAUAUGAAUUGGUAAGUUCGAUUAAGAGACUAACGUUAUUUAUCCUUCUUUCGGUUCGAUCUUCGUAAAAUUUCUCCAUUUCUUGCGCAGAUCCCCACUUGAUAAAAUUUUUGAAAGGGCAUUCUUUUCUUUUUGAUUUUCGUUGUGGCUGGGAAGUUAAUGAUUCUCCCCGGUACCGGAGCUGCCUCUGUUUCCUUAUUCCUUUUCUUUCUUGUCUCAAUGAGUCAUCGGAAACAAAUUUCCGAUUUCUUUUCUUGCUUCCAUUCGACAUAAAGAUCAACAAGUUCGGUGUCUUGACUUCUGCAUACAACAACCCAUCGAGCCAAGACUGACGCUUUUUCUCGUACAGAUCUGAGAAAUUUAACUCAGAUUUCCCAAUUCAGAACAACAGAAAAAUUAUAAAGAAGGAUAUGAUAACGGAUUAGUAGAUUUAGGAGUACUUACAGGUUUCAAGUAUCUAUAGCGGUGAAGAGAAGACAGAGAAAAGUCCGCCGCCGCCGAAGAGUAAAGCAGGAGAAACAGAGGAACUCGUUGGUUAGAGAAAGUAUAUCUUUAUUUCGAGAUUUUGAAUAGAAUUUAAUGAUCUUAAUUUGACAUCCCAUUUUGAGAUUGAAAGUAAACUGAUUUGAGACGUACCUUUUUCUUUGUCUUCAUCUUACUCCGAUAAAUUUCUAGAGAAGCUGUGGUAAUGUCAUCAACGAUCAUCUGCAAUGUAAGCCGUCCUUGGAAAGAAUAGUCGUUCACGGAUUGCUCUUCAUCUUUAUGCACAAAAAAGCGCCCUGGUAGCCUCGUUCCAGCCAUGAAAGGGAUUUUGAACUCACUUUCAAGAGAAGUUAAUCUCUUAUUAACGGCCUGAAUUCGAGCGCACAUAUUUUCCCUCCAAAUUUCGGAAGAUAACUCCUCGAGCAAGUUCCUGGCAUCGCAAAGUGCAUCUUUCAGCUUUUUAAGCGAAGCUGUGAAAGUGCUGGUCGCAGAUCGCUCUCCCGCGUUAAGAAGAUUAGCUUUGAUUGCAGAGACGGUGUUUCUGAGGUCGUCGACGUCAUCUUUGACAUUCAACCACGGUUCAGUUUCAGGGAGAGUAAGGGAGCUGGAUUUGCCUAUGAUCGAAUCGGCCAAAUCGAACACAACUGCUUCCGCCAUUGAUGGUUCAAACUGAAAUCAAGGCAAAAUUUGUUUGACUAUUGCAAGAGGAUGAAAGUGAAAUAGUGAAUCGAAGGAGAUGAAAGUUCAGGUUUGUAGAGACCACCAAACAAUAUAAUAUGAUAAAAAUAAUGUUGAUUGAUGAGAAAUGGUCCCACCAUGACUUUUAUAUUUUCACGCGCCCGCAUAUUACAAUGGCUUCUCGCGAUGGGCUCGAGCAUAUUCACCUUCAACAAAACUUUCUCGCGAUGGGCGCGAGCGUAAUCAACUUUAAUAAUAUUAAUUGUUUUAUCCAUUACUGUCGAAAUGAGCUAAAAUAGUCGUCCUAAAAAAAAAAAGGUAAUGACUUUUAAAAAAAAAACAUUUUAAAAAAGUAAGUGGUAAAUAACUUCUAAAUAAAUUAAUAUCUCCACUAAAUACCGACCUUUUUAAUAAUACAGUCAAACAUUAUGUGCACGCGUUUUCGUUGAUGCAUAUGGCCCUAUGUUUGCCUGCUAACUUUCCAAUAGUAUUCUCGCUUCAAAUUUACAUACAGGAACUUAUCUCGAUCUUUCUGUGAUGGAAGUUGACUAUAUUUUUAAUUCCAUCUCGUUGAAGAACUGUUCCGUUUCUUCGGUUUUACUCUUGCACAUCCCACCCUGCUCUCUCUUUUCUUAACUGCAGUAGAAGUAAAUACAUAUCACAUCUUGCUUUGAUUUUGCAUAAUUUCUUUACUUUGAUUCAUUAUCAUUCCAUAUGGUUUUGUUUUGCUGAUUUAAAAGAAGAUUUUGAUGCUGUUGACCUGGAACUUGUUUGUAUUUUUUCUGUUCUUCUCAUUUUAAUGAUUUGAUUUUAUCUAAAUUUCUCAGAUCUGUGUCAAGAUGAGCAUCGCUAACAUAUCAUUCCCCGAAGAUAAGUAUGGAGAGAUUCCAGACCUGUCACAGCAUGAGAGGGUGACACCGGCAACCAAUCCGAACUUUCAAGAGAGAGAUAUCUCAGGUGAAAACUCGCUGAGUGCAGGCAUGAAAAGAUGCUUACCGGGAGCUGAAGAACAAGUCACAAAGAGACAGCACCUGUCCCAACAUCAACCAGAGUCCAAAAGUAAAAGGUUAAGCUUGGAAGACCUUAUAAAAGGCAAAACUGUGCAGGAAAUAGUGAAGAUAUUGAUUGAUCGGAUUAAUAGGUUGAUUAAGAAAGUAAGGUCUGCUAAUUGAAUUUAAUUCAGGUUAUUGUUAUUUAUUUUUUAUAUAUAUUGAAGGUAAAAAAAAUUGCCACUAGCAAUGACGGGGACAAAGUGGACUUUGCAUUUUAGGUAGAAUUGAUCAUGAGUCGGGUAAAAAUAGAGGCUUGAAAAUAAAUUUAGAUAAAAAAUAGAGUUCAUUUUCUAAAUAGGUCGAGCCUCGGGCUAGAUUUUUUGGCCCGGGCUCAGUCCAGCCCAAAUUUGACUUGAACUAUUUUUUCUCUGUUGCUAUUUUGCUGUGAUUUUACUAUUAUAUAUUGUUAUUAUUUUAUUGUUAUUGUUGGGAUAUUGUAUAGCUCUUGUUUUAUUGUUAAUUUUGCUAUUAUUUGAGGCAUUUACUUGUUAAAUUGCAACUAUCUUAGUGCUAUUUAAGUGUAAUUUUUUUUAUGUAUUUUCAAUUUGGUGAGAAACAUUAUUGUUUAAAAAGUUGAUUGUUUAUCCAAUUUUUUGUUUGAAAUUAUUGUUUGGAUUGAAAAAUACUUUUCAACUUCAAUAGUAAAUAAAAUCUAAUUAAGAUUUGUGAACUGUUUUUACAUUCAAAGUUGACAAUAUAUUGUAGGAGAUGAUUCAAAAGAUCCUUGUAAUGACAAUGUAAAUAUAUUUGUUUCUUUUAACACCUAUUUUGUUUGUAUAUUUUGGGGAAGGAAGGACAUGGAGACAGACGCGGAAUCAGUGCUUGGCCAGCAAUGGCCAGUGCGACCGGAUAUCCUGGGCAUUAAGGAAAAGCUUCAAGCAACAGCUAAUGGCAAAUUAGCUAUACAAGAGGCAAAGAAAAGAUUGCUUGCAGUAAGACGCGAGUUUGAAGAGUUAGAAAUUCAACGUAAAACAGCAUGUUUAAUUUUUACAAAUUUAAUUACUCAAUUUAAGAGUGGGUUUGGAUGGAAGGAGCGUUUACCCAUUAUUAAUGUAAAAAAUAAUGUUGACGGUGAGAUUAGAUACUAUAACGAAAUUGUAGUGUGAGACAAAAAAUAAACUAAACGUACCGAACCGUCCAUCCAAAUUGACCCCUAAUCACCAAUCUAACUUUAACUUUUUAAUUUGGUUUUUCAGCCCUCAACAACAGCUGAGAACUCUGAUCCUCAUGUGGUAUGCGCAAUCUUUUAUUUGAUUUAAUGAUGAUGUGUAAUGUUAUGAUUUAUUGAUGAUGCAUGAAAUUUAUAUAUUGAUGGUACAUUAAGUAUUAUUCCUUAUAAUAAUUCUCUUUUCUUAUACACUAGAAUUAUUUUUAGAUGUUGCAAAAGUCAAAUUUUUAACUAUGUUACUUGAAUACGAAUAUAGAUAUCAAAUAUAAAAAUUUAUGUCUAGCAUAUACUUGUUCAUUUUUUCUAAUUUUUUUAAUGCAUUUAGAAGAAUUUGGAAGGCCAUAUUUGAUACCUAUAUUUGCAUAUGUAUUGCUACUUUAAUAUAAUCAUAAUUUCUUUUUCACUAUAGUUGUUUUCUCAGACUUAGAAAUAAGACAUUAGAUAUGGGUUCAUGUACGUUUAUCUUUUUUAAGUUUUCUUUUCUUUUGUCGAUUGAAUUUUAGUUCGAUUAGUAUGGAUAUAGUUGUCAAUGUAAGAGAAUAUUGGUUUGAGUGUGUUGAAGUUUAUUAUCUCCCUAUUUAUGGGUUACGAGUGGCUAUGAAUAGUUCUAGAUAUUAUUUAAAAAAACAGAUAUGAUCAGAACUUAUAACGAGAUUGUUAAAAGAAAAAAUCUUUUGUUUUUUGUUUUAUCUUAAUGCCUCAUGUCAUUCUUGAACUUGCCUUCUUGCUUCUUUCCAGUUAAAUUUCAGAAUAACAUCAUGAAUACUUUGAGUUUAUAUUUCUUUUAAAUUUCAGGAUAAUAUCAAGGAGACAUUAAAGAAACAGGUAUGAUUUAUGUGUGUAUAUAUAUAUAUAAUGCAUUAGACAUCAGCUGACCCAAGUAGUAUUUGAGAACCACCAACCAAAACUAUUUGGUAACAUUAUUUAGGUUUCAAAAAACUUUAUUGUUGUUAAUUGAGCUUUAACUCGGUUGGUAUCGAUGUUGAAAAUUGAAAAAUUAUAAGUAUGUAAACAUUUUGAAAUUUAAACCCCAAAAGUUACCCUACGAAAAAAAAUCUUUUACCCUACGAAAAAAAAUCUUUUUACCCCUAAAAAAAUCAGAUUUAAUCUUUUUAUCCCUGUAUCAUACAAUCAGAUUUUCCUUUUUGUUUCAGCUUUUUACCGCUAAAAAAAAUAAAAUCUAAUUGAAAAUGCCAAAAAUCAGGAAAAAAAAUCUGAUUCAUAAUCUUCUUAUACAUACCAUUCUCAUACUUUAUGGUUUUCUAUGUAUAUUGUUUCAGCUUUCUUCAGGGCCUAUUACUGUUGAUGAAGAUUUUGAUCUUGAAAAUUGUUUUGAUUUUCAAAGCCUCCCAGAUUUUGAUUUUGACAAAAGUUUCCGACCUCCUGAUAAUAUCCGGUCUGCUUUUACUGAUUUGGAAAAGCAACUUUAUGAAAAAGGCAACAACCAAGUGGGGGUAGAACAUUUCCCAGGCUUAGCAGAAGAGUUGCAAAAUACUGAUUGGGGAAAAACUCCGAGCUCCUUUGAAUCUAUUGCGGCUCGAAUUGAAAAGGAUCGUGGAAAAGUUACUGAAGUUGGCCAUAUCGCUGCUCAAGUUUUGGUUUGUGCUGCAGUAAAAGAGAUGGAAGAGUUUUCAGUUGAGAAAUUGGACAUAGAGAUGUUGAAAAAGUGGGGGGCGACACUUAACAAGGCUAAGGAACUUGGUUUUCAGGUGGGAUUUGCUGAUAAUUUCUUAAGGAAGAAUUUGUAUGCCUACUUUGGUUACAAAACAACCUUGGACGAGGCUAAAGAAAAGGAGGUUUGAGAAAUCAAAGGUGGCUUAGCUCGCAUGGUUGAGAAUCAAAGGGUGUUUUCCAUUUGCAGCAAAAUUCACUGAAUUUAUUUGGUUUGAUGGUCUUUGCGUUUCUAUAUUUACUUUCCUCUAUUUGAACUUAAUGGUUUUGGGUGUCUUGCAUGGACUUGGUGUUUUGCAAUGUAACAUAUACUAUAUGGUUUUUGAGACAUUGAUAUAUUUCAUCACCAUGUGCUAAUCUAUGAAAUUGUGUUAGUUAUUUUACCUAGUUUAUUAGAUUAAAUAGGCAGGUUUUGAAGAGGGAUGAUUUUUUUACUGACAUGUCAAGAAAAACACGUCCAACUUUGAAAAUUCUAAAAAGAACACUUCCAGCUAGAUACACUUUCCUUGACAUGUCAGCAAAAAGCGCAUCCAACCCUCUCAAAAAUCAAUCUAUUUCCUUAAAUUUUGACAAAAAAGACCUAUUUGACUAAUUAAUAAAAUUGACAUAUAUUGCCCAUUUAGCCUGUUUAUUAUGUUAAAAUGGUAUUUAAAAUGUUUUAUGUUUGAGCACAUUUUCAUAGGUUAAUUCGAUUCGAAAUCGUAAAAUUAACCGAAUUAACUGAACUUAAUAAAUAAUAUUUUAUAUUAUAUGUAUUAGGCUAUUCGGUUAAUUGGAUUAAUUUGGUUAAUUCGGCCAAAUGAACAUUAUUGAUUUAUUUUUUUGAUAUGUUUUAUACUUGUUUUAAAAAAUAAAAACAUAUAAAUUUCGGUUAACCGACCGAAUAAACCUAAAUAUUUUGGUUCGAUUAAUUUUUUUUCAAAUUUAAUUCGAUUAAUAGUUAAAGGAUUAAAAAGUUUAAUUAAUUUGGUUAAUCCUAGUUCGGUUCGGUUAACGGUUUGAACACCUCUAAGUGUCAGACUUGAGUGUGAAUGUCAAAAUAUGGGUAUGUAUCCGACAUGGUAUACUUAGUUCUUAUUAAAAAAAUUCAUAUAUUUAAACCAUCCUUGAAUGUCAUAUCCCCUUAUAUGUGUGUCAUAUUCGUGUACUUCAUGAAAAACAAAAAAAUCUAAGCAACCUUGUCACACAACAAGUGAAUUCAAAUACCAUAAAAUUUUGACUUAAUUCACGAUUUAACUCUUAAAUUAUACUCAUUUUUUAAUCACGUCCAUCAAUUGUUUAGUAGCAAAGUAGGCAAGCAACUUGGUCUUCAACAUAUUAUCAACAAAUCCCACUUGAAAACUAAUUUCUUUGGCCAUAUCAAGAGUUGCCACACACUUUUUCAAUGUAUACCACUCUAGAUCCUCAACCAGAAAAUCUUCCAUUUCUUAGAUAUUGUAGUGCAAACCAGAGCUUGAAUACCUAUAUGAGAAACCUCAGUAGCUUUUCCAUGAGUUUUUUCGAUUCGGAUCGCAAUAGGUUUGAGGUAGUUCAAAAUCCGGAAAAGUUCGAAAUUUCAGUUAGUAUUUGAGUUUUCCGACCACCUGAAUUGAAACAUAAAAGACAAAGAGGAAAAAAAAAGGUUUUGGAAAUUGUUUUAAGAAAAAUGACAAAAAAAAAGGUGGCUUUUAUGUUACUUAAAAGAGGGGAUCCGUCCGUUGACCUGUUUGUGUCCGCCUGGAUCUGCAUGUUUUUGUUGGAAGGCUUAAUAUCUAUUUUGGUCCUCCAUUGUUUGUCAGACGAUUGAUUUGGUCCUUAAUUCAGUUUUAAUUAAUAUAAUUUGAUUCUGAUUUAAUUUUAAUUUAGUCUGUUUUACUGAUUCGAAUAUUUUGUGUGUGCAUAUUUGGUGAAAAGAGGAAAGCCUUUGAUUUUGUUCUCAACUGUCACGACCAAAUCGAAUCACAUGAAUGGCCCAUGCGAUCUGAUGUCCGAGACAUUAUGAAAAAGUACUAAGAAAUCAAGAGUGAGCACGAGGAUGAAAAAUUAACAGAAGAUAAGGCGAAGUGGAUAUUGCUCGAAUUAGUAGAGAAGCUUAAGAAACUAGAACAACGAUCAAAGAGGUACAUCAAUGUUUGAAACUCAAAGACAAUGCUAAGUUUGAUUUUGAAGUCUUAAAUUUUUUGGUUUUUUCAGGACUUGGAUUAAGUAAGGGAACUUGAUCCUACCUUUGUUAAAAAUAUGGUACAUGCACACUUCUUAUUCAUAUUAACCUAUAUAUAUAAUCCCCUUGGCUAGAUGGGUAAAUUUUCUUUUAUGCCCUCUCAUAAAUUAAAACAUUAAAUUUAAGUCUUUUAGCCUUUUAAUUAAAUGGAAAAAUUACCUUUUUAGCCCUAUGAAAAGUUAAUGAGUUAAUCUAAGCUUUUUUUAACACAAUUUUUUAGCAUUGGCCCUUCCAAAAUUUUAUAAGGAGUUAAGAAAAAAAAGAUUCAAAUCUCACGUCCUAAAUAAAAUGAAUGGAUUAGAAUCAACAGUAUCCUACAAAACUCGAUAGUAUGGGCUUAAAAUUUGCCCAAACCUGUCAAUAUUUUAAACAGACUUAAUUCUUUUAUCCAAAUCCACCUAAAUUCUAAGUAGGUAGCCUAAUCCAUGAAGUUAACGAACGGUAACGGUUUCUCCAAAUAGCAAUUGAUAAAUUGAAUUCCGAAAAUAGUACAACUUAUAAAUGUAAUUAUUUUCCAAAUCUAAGAAAUUAUUGGAUUGUUGUUUAGUAAUGGAUUUGAGAUUUCAUGUUUUUUUUUUAGGAUGAAGAAUUAGUAUUACAACUAAACUUAUUGAUUUGAAAAAUCAAGUUUAUGACAAAAACAACAACAACAAAGUGGAGUUCAAAGAUUUCCAAGGCUUAGAACAAGCAUUAAACAACACUGCUCGGGGGGAAAUUCCAGACUACCUCGAACCUAUUGCAAUAUGUAUCGAAAAUGUUCGAAGAAAAAAAAGCUACUGAGAUUCGAAAUCGAAACAUGAAUUCUGGUUUGCACUGCAACAGAAGAGAUCCUUAAUCAAAGGUUGUUUUGCAGUUGCAGACUUGCUGUAAAAUCUUCAGUAAAAUCACCAUUAGAGAAUGGUUUUUAAUUCGUUUUGUCAUUCACUUUGGGGUUUUCUAUACGAAGUUUAUGGUUUUCAAUAUAAUUGUAUUCGAGAUUAAGAUCAAAUUGCUAAGAGUUGGUUUGAUUAGAUUAUUUUAUCCAAUGAUUUAAAUAAAAAAUUUCGAAUAAUUUAACGAUUAUUUUAUAACUUUUUAAAAUUAAGUUACCAAAAUAUAAAUUUACUAAUAGACUUAAAAAGAUAAGCACCUAUAACAGUUGUUUGAUACUGAGUUUGUUGAGAUGGAAAGUAUCUAGGCAGGCUAAAAUGAAAAAAUUUAACUUUUAGUCCCUUUAUAAUUUAUAAAAUUUUAGAUUAAUAUAUGAUAAAAUUAUAUUUUAACCCUUUAAAAAUGAUAAAAAUUUGAAUUAAUCAUUUAAAAAUUAUAAAGAUAUAAACUAUUAAAAUGAUAAAAUUGUAUUUUUACUCUCGUAAAAUUAUAUAAUUUAAUUAUGGUUCUUAAGAUUUUUUUUUUUUUUUGGUAAACACUGGAUCGUAUGGGCGCCAUCUUUCCAUCGUAAUCUCUAAGCAGGUAAAUUUCUCUCUAUAUCAUCAAUUUCCUUGAGGUAUUCUCUUAGGAAAACAACUGAUGCAUGUGAAGAUUUUUUAAUCCCUUCAUGCAUCUCUUUAUUCCUUGUUGCCCAAAUGACCUAAGGAGCACAGAACACUGUUCUACAUUUGCGUGCUGAAAUGGUAGACACAAUAUCCAUUAACCAGUCUCUAAAUCCACUCUGUAAUACAUCCUGAUUCCAUGUUUUUUUCUAACUGCUGCCAUAUUUCUUUUACAGUGAUAAAGUCUUGGAAAUCAUGCUCUGUCGUUUCAGUUCCAUCUGAGCAUCAAGGACAGACUGUUGAACUUCGAAGCCUUCUGUAAUGGAGAUUACAAUACGUUGGAAUGUAGUUAUUAAAUAGCCUCCAUAUUGUAAUCUUAAUUUUUUAUGGCAAAUCUGUCUGCCACAACUUCUUGUAGAAAAUGGUGUGAUCAUUAUUGUACUGUCUAGGCUCAGAUGUAUCCUCUCCCUUCAAUAAUCUUUUGUAACCACUCCUAACGAGGUACUCACCAGUUGCCUCACGCCACCAGACCAACCUGUCUUCCUGAGUGUGUUGGAUAGUGGAAUACAAAGGAUGCGCUCAGCUUCUUUCGAGGAAAAAUGAUUGGUAAUAAGAUCUCUCUUCCAGCAUCUUUGUUCUUGAUCGAUUAAUUCCGAGACAACAUUCAAAUCACUAAUCCUAACACUAUUGUGAACUUUAAAGUCCACAGAUCUCGGCAGUCACACAUCCUCCCAACUUGAGAUAUUAGUCCCUGCCCUCACUUGCCAGCAAAUCCCCUCCUGCAGCACUCUCUUGAUGGCCCAUAUACUCUCCUAGGUAUAUGAUGGAUUACUCCCUGAAUUCGACCUCAUAAAGAUAGUCUCUAGGUAAUAUUUUGCCUUUAGCAUUCACGAUAGUAGAGAAUUUGGGUAUUUUGCCAAAUGCCACCCUUAACAUUAAACUUAAGUUCUGCAUCCCAGGCCCCCAUCCUAAAUUUAACUCAGAUCAGAUCAAAUUAUUGAAAUACUAACUGUUUUUUUUUUCCAAUUUAGAACAAAAAUAGAAAGAAAUAAGCAAGUCAACCAGCAUUGAAAUGUUAUUUGAAACAACAAAAAUUCCCUCAAUUAAUUAAAGAAAUUGCCAUUAAAAAGAGGAAAUUCAGCAAAAUCAAAGAAAAAAAAAGAAGAAUAGAGAUUAAGUAAAAUGAAUUAGAGAAUUGGGUAACACUUGCUACUUCGAUGGAGUGAAGAGAAGAGAGGAGAAAAAGAGCAAGCAAGGGGAUAAAUCUCAAAAUUAUAUACGAAUUUUGAUUUAAUGUGUAAUUAUAUACAUGAAUUUUAAUGUGGUGCAAUUAUACACGUAAAACUCUAAUUGUAGUUCUCAUGUUUUAAUUUUGAUUUAAUCAUGCAUAUUUAAAAUAAUAAAUAAAUAAUUUUUUUUAUAUUGGAUAAAUAUAAUUUUUUAUGUAUAUGCAUUCUGUAAACAUAAAAUGAUGUUAUAUCAAUAAGAAUUUGAUCAAAUUAAAAUUUCAUAUAUAAAAUUGCUCGUUAAAUCAUAGAGAAAAAAAGGGGAAGAAUGUAGAUUAAGUUUUCAUAAUUGAUCCAACUGAUAAUUUAUCUAUUUUAAAUUCAAUCGUUUUUUCGAUUCGAUUGAAUAAAAUAAAAUUAUAUUAAGAAUAAAAAAAUAGUUUAAUUAAUAUGAUUACAAUUCAACUGAUUCAAUCGUCCGGUUCAACUAAUCUGAUCAAUUUACGGGUCAAUCGUCUAACCCCUUAUUUUGAAUCAAUAUCUUGAUUGAUUCUCGAUUCAAUUGAUUCCAUUGACGAGUUUAGUUCAGUUCUGAAAACAAUAAUGUACAUUUGACGUGCAAAGAUCAAGGUAGCUUUGCGAAUAUUAAUAUUAAUUUAAUUUAUUCUAAUUCCGAUAAAAAAAUCAAAGUUAUAUUCAAUUUUCACUUCAACUUGAAUUGAUAUGACAUAUUUUUUUUAUGUAUUUGUAUUAAAAUAAAAAAAUAAUUUUUAACUUUAAUUAUAUUUAAUGAUGCUAUGAAUUGUUUGUUAGGUAAAAUUAUAUUAGAGCAAAUAUUAAAAUAAAUUUUAUUUUCAUAUAUUUUAAGUUAAUAUUAUAUACUAGAAAUUUUAUCACGUAUAAAUGUGUUUAAAAAUAACCUACGAUAAAUAAAAUUGUAUGGUUUGAAAUUAAUAAUAAUAUAUAUAAUGUAUAUGGAAUUAAAAUAAAAAUGAGGGUCAAAACUUUUGUGUAACAAUAUUAAAAUAUAAAAAAAUAAAACAUUGAUUGGAGUGAUAAAGUUGAGUUUUCGUGUUUGAUAAUAGUAUAGGUUUAAAGCUUCUAAUUUGUAAUUUUUUAUUGAUUUUAUUUAAAAUGUAAAGGGACAAAAUUACAAUUAUAAGAAUAUAACUUAUUUAAAAUAUAUAAAGGUAAUUCAGUAAUUUCUCAAACUGAAUUGGUAUGAAUGUGACAUCAAUUCAAUUAAGAAUUUAAAUAAUAAUAUAGAAGUAAAAAGAAGCAUCAUUGUAAAAAUGUAAAAAAAAAAAAAACUUGUAAAAACUAUUAUUUUUUUCAAAUUUAUUAAAAUAUAAAUAAUAUUUAAAAUUAGUAAAAAUUAUUAAAAAUUGUGAAUAUCAUUAAAAUUGUUAAAUAAUGAUUAGAAAUUGUAAUAAUUAUUGAAAAAUUUAUAAGAAUUUUGAAAAUUUUAAAAAUUAUAAUAAUUUUUACAAUUUUUAUUAAAAUACAAAAUUUUAAAAAUCUGAAAAUAUAGCCACGAAGAAAUCAAAUUCAAAUAUACAAAUAUUUGAUAUCGAUAACUCGUGACUUUAAUUUUAAUAUUGAAUAUUUUAAUUCAAUCUCAAAAUUUAGCUUAAACCUCAUAACCAAACAUAAAUUAAAUUAAUUUAUUACGAAAUUGAUGAAUUUAAUCUUAUCCCAAAUUUAAUAUUUAAUUUUAAUUAAUAUACCAAACAAAAUUUAUAACUUAAAUUUAAUCUUAAAUUCAAUCCUUAAUUUAUUAGGCGCUUAACUUUUUUAUUUAACAAACAUAAAAUUAAUCUCAAAAUAAACUUCAUAUAGAAAUCCAAAGUCUAAGGACAAAUACAUCAAAGCCAAAACUACUGUAGACAUUGCAGCUAGCCGCCGCCGCCGCCGCCGACGCCAACAACGCAACCAUUUGAUUCUGCGAAGCUAUUUUUUUGCAGUCGAUGUGGGAAGAUUUUGAACAGCAAAAUAGGCUAGCAAAUUCUUCUUCAACAGGUUAUCAGCAAAUCUCACUUGAAAACCAAAUUUCUCAGCGUAAUUAAGUGUGGCGCCCCACUUUUUCAAGGUAUCCCAAUCCAAAUCCCCAACCGAGAAAUCUUUCAUCUCUUUGAUCGCAGCGCAGACCAAAAUUUGAAUGGCGAUAUGAAAAACAUCAGUAGUUUUUCCACGAUCUUUUUCGAUUUGGAUUGCAAUAGAUUCGAGGUACUCUGGAAUUUCCCCCCAAGCAGUGUUCUUCAAUGCCUGUUCCAAGCCUGGGAAAUCUUUGCAUUCCACUUUGUCGUUGCUUUUGUCAUAAAGUUGGUUUUCCAAAUCACGGAAUUUAGAUUGUACUCCUUCACGAGUUAGAUCAUUGGUUGCAGUAACAUUUACCUUCCAUUGGAGGUGGAAAAAAAAAUACUUAUUAGGUUAGUAAUUCUUAACUCCAACAGCUCAUGAGCCGUAUUGAGUUUUUUUAUAUUUUCAUAUAAUUAAAUUACAUUAUUUUCUUUAAUAUAUUAUUAACUUUAAGCUUAAUUAUUAAACCGAUCUCGGACUCGAGUAUCAAAUUCCAAAUUUAGAAAUCGAGCUUGAACAUGAUAGUAUUUGAAUUCAGCUUGGCCUGAUUACACUACAUAAAACUCAAUUGAGAUUUGAUGUGUGUUUUAUAUCUGAAAGACAUAAAAGAAGCAUGAAAUCUCAAAUUCAUUACUCAACAAAGAGAAGGGGAGACUAUUAGUGAUGAUAGUGGUGUGUUUCAUUAAGUCUUAUCACCUUUGCAUAACUAAGAUGCCUUGCUUUUUCUAAGAGAUACUACCACUAGACAGGGACCAUUUUGGAAAUAAAAACCAGAUUUUGAGGCUCAGACAAACAAAUUUUCCGAAUAAACAAAUGAAUAUUAAAAGAAGUCGGUUCCUUCAUUAAAAUAAAUUGAAUAUGAAUUAGCAAGUUCGAUUAAGAGACUUACAUUAUUUAUCCCACUUUUGGUUAGAUCAUCGUAAAUUUCCACUAUUUCUGGCACGGAUGACUUGAUAAACUCUUCUUCAUUUUUUGUUAAUGAUUCUAGUCGGUGUCGGAGCUCCCUCGGUUUCCUUAUUCCUUUUCUUUCUUGUCUCAAUAAGUCAUCGGAAACAGAGCUCAGAUUUCUUUUCUUGCUUCCGUUCUAUAUCGGUGAAGAGAAGACAGAGAAAAGGCCGCCGCCGCCGAAGAGUAAAGCAGGAAAAACAAAGGAGUUCGUUGGUUAGAGAAAGCUUGCAAGUUGGGUCUAUGUGAUUAACAAAAAGAAGAAAAAAAAAAAGUUCAUCUACGUGAUUCUUAACUUCCACCUUCAUUUCAUGUAUGGUUUAAAACAAAUCAAUAUUUUUUUUCAUGUCAACUUUAUCUUUAUUUCGAGAUUUUGAAUAGAAUUUAAUGAUCUUAAUUUGCCAAAGACUUACCUUUUCCGUCGUCUUCAUCCUAGUCGGACAACCUGCUACCAAAGUUGUGCUCUUUGCAGCCAUUAAAGGGAUUUUAACGAGGAGGUGAUCGAAAAAGUUUAACAUGUCGAACACCCUUUCAGGGGAAGUUAACCUGUUCUUAAUGACCUGAAUUUGAGAGCUCAUUUUGGAAAGGUAACCAUAAUUGUUUGCCCUUGACCAGGGAAAGAGAAGCCUUCUCAAAACAUCGAAAGAUAACUCAUCGAGAAAGUCAUCGGCAUCGUGAAGUGCAUCGUUCAGCUUUUCAAGCCAAGCUGUCAAAUUGCUGAUCGCAGAUCGCUCUUCGGCGUCAGGAAGCAUAACUAUGGUUGCAGAGACGGUGACGUCGAAGUCAUCUUGGACAAGCAGCCACAUUUCAGAGAGAAUAAGGGAUUUCAAUUUGUCGCCCGAGGUGAACCCAGUUUCUUCCGCCAUUGAUGGUUCAAACCGAAAUCAAGGCAAAAAUUGCUUGAUUAUUGCAAGAGGAAGAAAGUGCAAAGUGAAUCCAAGGAGAUGAAAAUUCAGGUUUGUAGAGACCACCAAACAAUACAAUCUGAUAAAAAGAAUGUUGAUGGAUGAGAUAAAUUUCCCCUCUUAUAUUUUCACUCGCAAGCAUUCAACAUAACUUUCUCGCAAUGCGCGCGAGCAUAUUCAACUUCAACAUCACUUUCUCGCGAUGGGGGCGAGCAAGCAGAUUCCAACAAUAUUAAUUUUUUUAUCCACUACUGUCCAAAUGAACUAAAAUACUCGUCCUAAAAGAAUUGUAGUUUUUGGCUUUACCAAAAAAAAAUCAUUUUAAAAAAUAGAGUGGUCCAACAACUUGACCUUUUUGUCUACUUCAAAAGCUAAAUAAGCUAUUAUCUCCACUAAAUGCCGAUAUUGAGAUUUUUUUUAAAAUACAGUCAAAGACUAUUACCUAAACAGACUUGCGCGCGAGCAUUGGUUGAAGCAUAUUGUCGAAACCAUCUUUUUAGAAAAACGGGGUCGACUUGGUUUUGAAAAUGAAAAUAAAAAUGGGAGUCGUCACCAAUCUUUUUUGCUGAGGUGUGAUCGGAUCACCUCAAAUUAAUCAUUCUAAUAAAAGUUAAAAUUUACUAAAACGAUAAUUUUUGGUCUACGAAAAUCAGAAAAUGAGUUUGGGAGUUGGUUACGCACGAGAAAGGAUUAGCACCCUCGGUACGCCCAAAAAUUGGUACCUAGUUGAUUAAUUAGUGUCUUUAGUGUUGGAAAUUGAAAACUUAAAAGAUUUUGAAAUGCAAUCCCUCUCUUUGUAAAAAACUCGAAUGUUAAAGACAUUCUCGUCUCGAAGUGAUAAAAUGUCACAUCCAGUAAGUUAGGACACGACAUCUCGAGCUUUUGAGAGUAAGCUUGCCUUUUAUGUAAAAUUCGCGUAUUUUAACUCCUUUUAAAAGGAUAUUCGAUUAUUUAGGGUAAACGAGGAAAAUCAAAACCCAGUAAAUUAGGACACGAUCUCUCGAACUUCUAAAUACCGAAUAUUGCCUUUAUUUACAAAAAUCUUAUCUCGAGGUAACGAGACGUCAUAUCCAGUAAGUUAGGACAUAACACCUCGUAUCUUCGAGAGUAAGCGUUUUUUUCAAAACUCGUGUUACGAUUUUAAAAGAAUAUGCCGUUAUUUAGGUUGAACGAGAAAAAUCGAAACCCAGUAAGUUAGGGUACGACUUCUCGAACCUUCAAAUACGGAAUAUUGCUUUUAUUUAAAAAAAAAUUCCUUUUUGUACGAAUUUAGGUAAAAGAAAAAAAUAAAUUUAAUCGAUUAUAUUUAAAAGGAGAUAGUUCAAAAUUUAAAAAGUCAUGCGUGACUAAUAAUGAUAGUGCAACAUUUAUUCGAAGUAACAAGGGCAAUAUAUUGUAUGCUAAAAAAUAACACAUGUAUAUAUAUAGAGAUAAUAACAAAGAUAAAGACAGAAAUAGCAUCAAAGUAAUACUAAUAUUGAUGAUAACAAUGAUAUUAAUAAAACCUAAAUUUUGAAAUAUAUUGAAAGUAAUAUUAAAAAAACAUAAUAAUAAUAAAAUAAAUAAAUAAAUAAAUAGAUAAAUAGAAGGGCACAACAAGAGAGAGUAAUAGAUAAGAAUAAAAAAAUGAAGCAAAAGAAAUAUUAAGUAAAGAAAAUAAAUAGAUCAGUUAGAAUAAAAAUGAAGUUAUGUAUGCGAUUUGAAACUAAAUAUAAUAAUAAUAAUAAUAAUAAUAAUUAAGUAGGAAAUAAUAAUACAUUAACAAGACAAAUAAUAUAAUAACAGUGAUAGUACUAAAGAAAAUAAUAAUAUUAGUAAUAGUAAUAAAUAUAAUGGUAAUAAUAAUAAUAAUCUAAACUUUGAAACAUAUGAAAUGUAUAUAUAAAGAAAUAAAUAAAUAAUCCUUAAGAUAAACAAUAAUGAGAGUAAUAAUAAUAAUAAGAUAAAUAAAUAAAAGGGACUAAUUAUAAAUGAGAAAUAAGUAAAUAAAUGAAAUAAGAAUGAAAAAUAAAAGGUUCAAGUAAAAACUUGAAAAUGAGCAAACAAAAAAUAAUAAAUAAAAAAGGAAUCAAAUGAAACGAAUACAAUGAUAAUGACAGUAAUAGUAAUAAUAAUAAAUAAUACUAGUAAAAUAAUAAUAAUAGUAAUAAAAAUAAAAAUAGCAAUGAUAAUAAUAAUACUGAUAACAAAAGAAAAAGGUAGCUAAAUGAGUAAAUAAAUAAAUAAAAGGGGAAAAUAAAAUAUGAAAGAUUGAAAGCAAGGGACUAAAUUGUGAUCUAAACAGAAUUUAAAGUACAAAUCAUGAGAUAAAAAUAAAGUAAAAUGGAUUAAAAUGAGAUAAAAUUAAAAUUAUAGGGCGAAAUUUAAAGAACAAAAUGAAAGAGGACUAAAUUGAAUUUAAAACAAACGUUUGGGGCAAAUCAAAAAAUAAAUGAAAGAGGAGAGGACUAAUUUAAACAUGCAAACAACGUGAAGGGACGAAAAAAGAAAAUAUCCCCGUCCCUCUAAAUGUUGCGUCUUGCGUAGGACUAAAAUGAAACAAAAAAUGAAUUAUUAGGAGAAAUUAAAAAUAACGAAAAAUUUAAUUACAAAAUUGUAAAAAACGGAAGGGCUAAAAGUGCAAUUAGCCAUUUCAUUAGAAAACACACGGAUCUUCAACUCGAGCAGGUCGGAUCAGGUCGGAGGGGGCAAAACGACGUCGUUUUGGGCGUUUAAGGCCAGUCCCAAAACGACGUCGUUUUGGUAGCCUAUAUAAAUCAGAUUUUUUUUUAAAACUUCAUUUUUUCUUUGUUUUUUUAAAAAAACUUUUUCUUUUUCCCUUUUUUUUCUCUGCAGAGGCCUCUACUCCGGCAAGGGUUCCGACCAUUCGCCGUCGCACCGGCCGCCAUCGCCAGCCACAGUACACGGUGGCCAGAAAAUAAAAAAAUGUACGUUUUUCUAUUUUUUUUCUUAUUUUAUGUAUAUAUAUAUCUAUAUAUAUGCUGUUUUUCUUCAAAAAUAAAGAAAAUAUGUACUUAUGUAUAUUCGAUGGAGGAAAAUAAAAAGAAAUAAACUAAAAAAAGAAAAUAAAGACCUUAACGCGUUUUUCCUUCCACUGCUUGCUGUUUUUUUGUUAUUCGAUGUAUUUGAAUCUGUUUUUUUGUAUUCAAAAGUGUCCAAACCAUAAAUUUGAUUCAUAAUGGCUUUUAUAGCCAUUUACAAUACUUUUUUUUUAUCUAUUUUUAUGCUUGCUGUCAUUGUUAAUUGUGUGCAGGUGCAACUUGAGGGCGGUGGAUGUGACAAGGCGGUGUUGCAGGCCGUUAGAAGGCAGUUGGCCAAAAGUCAGGCAUAGGGGCGACGGCUAGGGUUUCUUGGAGGAGUUUAGGAUAGUGGGCUAGGGUUAGGUUAGGUUUGGGCUUAGUUUGGGCUUGUUUUGGGAUUUGGGUUUUAUUAGUUUUAUUUAGUGGAUAGGUGGGUUUGUGUUUUGGAUUGGUUUGGUUUAGCCCGGGCCGAAAUGGGCUUGUACACAUAUAGUACCAAGUUUGCUAGCUAACUUUCCAGUAAAGUUUUCCAGCUAACUUUCUAGUAGUCUUAUCGCGUCAAAUUUACAUAAAGUUAAAAUCUCGAGCUUUUGGUGAUAUAAACUGUCAAAUUAACGAAUUACUUUGUUUCUUCAGUUUUACGCUUGCACACCCGACUCUACUCUCUCUUUUUUUCAUUGUGGUAGAAGUAUGUAUGGUUUAAUUUACCAAUUUUUUAUGGUUUUGUUUUGCUGAUUUGAAAGAAGAUUUUGAUGUCCUUUACCUGCAAAUAGUUUGUGUUUUUCUGUUCUUUUUGUUUUAAUGAUUUGAUCUAAUCUAAAUUUCUUAAAUCCGUGCCAAGAUGAGCAUUGCUAACAUUUUAUCCCCGAAGAUAGCUAUGGAAGACUUGGAAACUUGUCGCAACCUGAGAGACUGACACCAGCAAUCAAUCAAAACUUUCAAGAGAGAUAUUUCAUUAUAGAAAUACUUCAACCCGAAUGGAGACAUGAACUAUCAACCGAAACAGAUCAAGAGCUAGUUGAUGUCAAAUGCAAGCAUAGAUGAGAACUACUUGUUACCAAGUGGAGGUAUGAACUCUCAAGAGAAAGAGUUCUCAAGUGAUAACCCCUUGAUCUUAAAUGCAGACAUAGAUGAGAACUACUUGUUCCCGAGUGGAGACAUGAACUUUCAAGGGGGAGAGUUCUCAAGUGAGAACCUCUUGAUGUCAAAUGCAAGCAUAAAUGAGAACUACUUGUUCCCUAGUGGAGACAUGAACUUUCAAGGGGGAGAGUUCUCAAGUGAGAACCCCUUGAUGUCAAAUGCAAGCAUAGAUGAGAACUACUUGUUCCUAAGUGGAGACAUGAACUUUCAAGGGGGAGAGUGGUCAAGCAAGUUUGAGACAUUAGAAAAUAACCGUAAAAAGGUAUGUUAAAUUUUUACAAAUCUAACUUUAACUUUUUAAUUUGGUUUUUCUGCCCUCAACAAGUGUUGGGAACCUAUCCUCGAAUGGUAUGUUAUGCAUAAUUUUUUAUUUAAUUUAAUGAUAAUGCAUCAUGUUAUUAUUUAUUGAUGAUGUAUAAAAUUUAUAUAUCAACGGUACGUAAAAAAUUACUGCUUAUAAUAAUUCUCUUUUUUGAUGCACUAGAUUUAUUUUUAGAUGUUAAAAAAGUCAAAAUUUUAACUAUGUUACUUGAAUAUAAAUGUAAAUAUCAAAUAUAAAAAUUUAUGCGUAAUAUAUAUGUGUUCAAUUUUUCUAAAAUUUUUAAUGCAUUUAGAAGAAUUUUGGAACACCAUAUUUGAUACCUAUAUUUGAACAUGUAUUGCUACAUUAUUUUUAUGUCACAUUAUAAUCAUAAUUCCUUUUCCACUAAGCAAUAUGGGUUCAUUUAUCUUUAUCUUUUAUAAGUUUUCUUUUCUUUUUCUUUAUCCUAAUGUCUCAUGUCAUUCUUGAGCUUGCUCUUCGUGCAUCUUUCCAGUUAAAUUUUUUGUUAUGCAAAAUUUUUUGUCGUUCAAUAAAAAAAAUUGUUGAAGAAGUGCCAAAUAAAUUGAAUUCUCCACCUACAAUUGACACAUUGUUUCAACAUAUAUACUUUUCUUGUAUGUCUUCAAACUCACAAGCAACAUUUGCAACAACAAAUUCUAAAGAAAUGACUCACGAUUUCACUAUGUUGAGUCUUGAACCACAACUUUUCGUUUUAAUGAUUUGCUUUAAUCUAAAUUUCUUAUAUCUGUGUUAAGAUGAGGAUGUCAUAUCUCGAAAACACUUAUAAAUAGAAUAGAGACUUGUCACAGCAUGAGAGAGUGACAUUAGCAACCAAUCAGAACUUUCAAGAUGGAGAGAACGAAGAGUUGCUCAAUCAUAAUCAGAUAAACAAUUCGAUGCCGCCUAAUGAAAAGACCCAUUGAAGAGCUUGACAAAUUGGAAGCUAAAAAAAAAAAGGCACAAAGAAACAGUGCAACUCCCAACAAUCACCAAUGCUGAAAAAUAAAAAAUUUACCAAGGAAAAGCUUGUCGAAGGGAAAACUGGGAAGGAAAUAAGGGUAAUAUACAGGCAUCGGAUUGACAGACAAAUAUUACAAGUAAAUUCUCCUAACCAAAUUUAAUAAUUAUUGUUAUUUAUUAUAUAUAUGUAUUGAAGGUAAAAAUGCCACUACACGGAUUGGACUCUGCAUUAUUGGUUAUGCUUACUUUAAGUUAGUUUAUUAUUGAAAAGUGUUAUUAAAAAUUUUGAUAGUGUUUACCAUUUCUGUUAAAAAUUACUUUUAGAAAGAUAAAAUAUUUAUUUUAGACAUGAUGUUGUAAAGUAAAAGAUUUAAUGAGAGGAUAAAAAAAUAAUUUCAUUUAAAAGAACCUUUUUAAAGGUUAAAAGCUAAAAAUUUUGACUUGGGUUAAAAUUCAGCUUUAAAAUUAAAGUUUAAUUUGAAAAACUGCAUAUUUACCCAAUUUUUUUUUAGUUUGAAAUCAUGAUUUGGGUUGAGAAGUGUUUUUCAACUUCAAUGAUAAAUAAAGUAACUAAAAUUUGAGAAUGGUUUUUACUUUCAGAGUCAAAAAUAUAUUGUAAUAGAUGAUCCAAAAAAUCCUUGUAUCGACAAUGUAAAUAUGUUUGUUUCUUUUAAUGCCUAUUUUGUGUGUAUAUUUUGGGAAAGGAAGGACAAGAAGAUAGAUAUGAAAUCAAUGCUCAUCAAGCCAUGGCCAGUGCAACUGGAUGUCCAAGGCAUUCAGCAAGAGUUCGAAGAAAUAGCUAAUGCUAAUUUAGAACCAAAAGAGGAUAAGGAAAGAUUGCUCAAAGUAGCAUCCAAGUUUGAUAUAUUACAUCAACAACGUAAAGAGGUAUGUUAAAUUUUUACAUUUUUAAUUACUCAAUCUAAGUAUCCCAUCUAACUUUUUAAUUUGGUUUUUCAGCCUUCAAGAACAGUUGGGAACGAUGAUAGAUUGGUAUGCAUAAUUUUUUUUUAAUUUAAUGAUGAAGUUUCAUGUUAUUAUUUAUCGAUGAUGCAUGAAAUUUAUGUAUCAAAGGCAGAAAUUAUUUUAUGGAUCCUUCUCAUCACAUCAACCAUGAUCCAUUUUUUAAUUAUUUAAUGAUAUUUCAGUAAUUUUUUCAUAUCAUUGACACAUAAUUUUGGUAAUUUUUUAACCUUGAAUCUAAAACCUAGGUCACAGGGCUAGAUCUUUCGUCUCGCGAUCCGUACGGUCUUAGGUGAUUCGUUUUUCAAAACUAGCCUAAGUCAGCCUUUACUCAAGUGAGGAUUCCUUUAGAAGUCCUCCAAGGCACCAAUUUGUAUAGCAGAAGCGAUUUAUGCAAAAAGAGGCAACAAAAGAACAACAGAAAGAGUACACACAAGGUGUUUGAGUAAAUGAGUAAAUGCUCUCAAUAUUCUCUUAUUUAAAAAGAGUAAUGAAACAAUGAAUGGAUUGAUUUCAAAUAAGGGGGAGGCUCUCUAUUUAUAGUUGAGCUCCCCCAAAACCAACGGUCGAGAUACAUUUAUAUCGACAGACGGGAUUAACUAUAUCCCUUGAUUUUAAGGAUUUACAAGAUAUGUCUUAUCAAAUCUAAUCUAAUCUUUACAAGAUAUGACUAUAUCAAUCUUUUAAGAUUAGUUACCAAAAUAGCCUAAGUUGUCAUAUCUUCAUUAUCCGGCCAAUCAGGCUUCAAUCUGACAGGCUUCUCCAAAGGGUUAUCGAAUCGGGCCAGUUCUUGUGGACCAAAUGAUCCCCAUCUACACAAUAGACCUCCACCGGAUGCAUUUGGUGCAAUGGUCACGGGUUUUGAACUGUAGCCCGUGACAUUCUCCCCUACCUAUUCUCAUGACGCCCUCAUUGCUACUUCCGAAUGGCACUGACUUGAUUCGCCUUGGUUUCAUUUUGACGCCUUAGCUUUUCCCUUCCUUCAAGACUUUUGCCUCGGCUUAUGUCACUUCUUAACUCGAACCAUCCUACUCGUUGCAUUUACUCUGGUCAACUGUCCAACUUGCAUAACUUUUUUUUCCUCGAAGUCUGAUGCACUACCCUCCUCUCCCAUAUGUGGAAGCCUUGUCGGUGACUUGGCCAACUCUGACGCUUUACUCGAAUUGAGCCUCAUUAGUCCCAACUUCACUGUUUUCAUCAUAACUUUUCCCCUAAGUUCGAUGAAAAACUCACCUCUUCCUUAGGUGGAAGCCUCUCCCUGACUCACCAAGCUCAGACGUUGCCUUUCCUUUGACUACUGCUUGCUCUGGACAGCUUCACAACUCAUGGAGACCAUGGCACAAGAAGCACUUUACUCGCUUCUUUUUGCUUCUCUUUGCCCUCUUGGCUUCGACUUUUCCCUAGCUUGAACCAAGCUUCUUGGGCUCCUUGUAUGCUCCAUCGUCCCUUUCGGUGACAGACUUCUUCGGACACUUCCGCAACCUAUGCGAACCAUGACAUAAGAAGCACUUCACUGGUUUCUUCUCACUUUCAGCUUCCUUGGCUUUGACACCCCUUGCGCUCGAACCAAGUACCAGGGCCUUACCUACUGGCAUCUCCUUAAGCUCAAAUUUAUUAGGACAUUUCUUCAAUAUAUGUGGACUGUCACAGGGAAAACAUUUCAACUUGUCCUUUUUUCUAUCAGGUUUCUUCUUCCCAACUCGUGGUUUCCCAUUACCACCAUUGUUGUCGUUGCUAUUGCCAUCAACAGUAUCUUCCUUGUGACCAUUUUCACAUACGCCCAUUUUCUCAGACUUGGAAGACCCAAGCUUGCCUUUCCCUAGACCAAGCUUGACCACAGACUCUACUAUCGUCAUGGCUUCCGACAACUUUUGAACAUCUCUUUGUUCCACCUCCUGUCUGACACACGACUUCAAUCCAUUCUGAAAAACAAGCAAUGAUUCUUUCUUGGUCACAUCUGAAACUUGGAGCAUGAGUUCUUUAAACUCUUGAACAUACUCUCCCACUGUGCCCCGUUGCUUUAACCUUUGCAAAUUUUCUCGAGCUUUUUCCUCGAUAAAUUCUAGGUAAAACUAUCCCUUUAACUCACAUUGAAACUUGUGCCACGUCUCAAUCUCACAUUGCCUUUUAUCUGUGGUCCUGCCUCACCACCAUAAAAACGCAAUAUCAGUAAAAAACAUUGAAACAGUGUUUACCUUAACCGCAUCAUCCACGAUACCUUUGGCAUGGAAAUAGUUUUCUAUCCUUCACAAGAAGUUUUCCACAUCGUAUGUAGACCUUGUCCCCACAAACUCUUUCGGCUUCGGGACAUCCUCGUAAUUGGGUGCUACACUUGAUACUCUUUUCCCCACGGCUGCUCGGCACAAUGCCAGCUCUCUCUCGAGCUCCUCUCUGCCAGCUUCUUCCUUUGGGAAUCUAGCAACUCUUGCACGCUCUCCUUAUUAGAAGUGAGACACAUGGUCACAAAGUCUCUGGACUGCUCCCUCAAGUUAUCUAUGCUUUCCUCAAGUGCAUUUUCUAACUAUUUUGCGUCCUCUAUAGACUCCUCAAGUUUACCCGCGCGUUCCUCAACUGUUGACAGCAUCUCCUUCAAAGAGUUUUUAGCUUACCUUUGUUUGAACUCUUCUUUCGACAUCCUAACAGUGCCUUCGAACCAAUAGCUCUAAUACCACUUGUCACGGGGCUAGAUCUUUCGUCUUAUGAUCUGUGCGACCUUAGGCGACCCGUUCGUCCAGUCUCACCUAAGUCAGCCUUUACUUAAGUGAGGAUUCCUUUAGAAGUCCUCCAAGGCACCAAUUUGUAUAGCGGAAGUGAUUUAUGCCAAAAGAAGUAAUAAAAGAACAAUAGAAAGAGCGCACACAAGGUGUUUGAGUAAAUGCUCUCAAUAUUCUCUUAUUCACAAAGAAUAAUGAAACAAUGAAUGGAGUGAGUACAAAUGAUAGAGAGGCUCUCUAUUUAUAGUUGAGCUCCUCCACAACCGACGGUCAAGAUACAUUUACAUUGACAGAAGAGAUUAACUAUAUCCCUUGAUUUUAGAGAUUUACGAGAUAUUUCUUAUCAAAUCUAACCUAAUCUUUACAAGAUAUGAUUCUAUCAAUCUUCUGCUAGGAUUAGUUACCAAAAUAGCCUAAGUUGUCAUAUCUUUAUUAUCGGGCCAACCUGGCUUCAAUCUGAUAGGUUUCUCCCAUAGGUUAUUGAAUCAGGUCAGUUCUUGUGAGCCAAAUGAUAUCCAUUUACACAAUAGACCACCACUGGAUGCAUUUGGUGCGAUGGCCACAGGCUUUGAAUUGUGGCCCGUGACACUAGAACCCUGAACCUUGAACUCAGGGUUUGGAGUUCAGGUUCAAGGUUCAUGUUUAAGAUUUGAGGUUUAAGAUUUAGGGCUCAUGACUCGGGGUUCAGAGUAAAAAAAAUUAUCAAAAUUAUGUGUCAAUGACAUAAAAAAGAUUGCUGAAAUAUAAUUAAAUAAUUGGAAAGGGAGCAUGGAUGAUGUGGUGGGAAGAAGAAAAUAUUUUAUGAAUCGUUCCCACCACAACAUCUAUGGUCCCUUUCCAAUUAUUUAAUGACAUUUUAGCAAUUUUUUUAUGUCAUUAACACAUAAUUUUGGUAUUUUUUUAAUUUCAAACCUCAAAUCCCAAACUCAAACCCAAACCUCAAACUUGAACCCCAAACCCUAAACUCAAAGAUUGGGUUCAUGUUUAGGAUUUGAGAUUUAGUGUUCAGGGUUCAAGAUUCGGGUUUGAUAUUUAAGGUUCAGGAUUUGAAGUUUAGGUUUUAUGUUCACGGGUUAGGUUCAAGUUUGGGGUUUAUGAUUUAGGAUUCAAAGUUUAAGGUUUGGGGAUCGAGGUUUUUAGGGUUAAAAAAUUAUUAAAAUCAUGUUUCAAUGAUAUAAAAAAAUUAUUGAGAUGUCAUUCAAUAAUUAGAAAUGAACCUUGAAUGAUGUGGUGAGAAGGUUCAAUAAAAUAAUUUCUCCUAUGAAAGUUCAAUCAAAUAUUGGUUUUUUUUUAUAGUAAAUCUCUGUUCCUUGCACUAGAUUUAUUUUUAGACUUAGCGAUAAGACAUUCCUUUCUUACAUAUUUCUAAUUAAAUUUCAGGAUUGCAUCGUGAAUCAUUGGACAUUAGCUGAUCCAAGUAGCAUUUGAGAACAACCAACCAAAAUAAUUUGGGAACAUUAUUUAGGUUUCAGAAAACUUUAUUCUAUUUUUAAGGCUAUUACUUCAUCAUCAACAAACCUUUUUCAUUAAGAUUUUUACUUAUUAAUAAUACCUAUUUCAUUAAUGAACAUAAGCAUCUUGCAAUAUCCAUCAUCUAUGAUUAUUUAUUAGACCCAUGAAUUUGUUGAAUACGUGUUUGUAAUGACAUCACAUUAAAUCUCAACUAAUGCAUAUGUAUACCAUCCUCAUAAUUUAUGGUUUUCUCUGUUUAUUGUUUCAGUUUCCUGCAAGGACCCCAUAUUUACUCUCUGCUUUUAGGGAUUUUGAACACCUAGUUUAUGACAAAGGCAACAACAAACUGGGAAAAGAAAGUUUCCCAGGCUUACAAGAAGAGUUGUAAAAAAUUGGUUGGGAGGAAAUUCCAAGCUUCCUUCAAUCUAUUGCGAGCUGAAUCGAAAAGGAUCGUGGAAUAGUUACUAACUUUACCUAUAAACCUACUCAAAUUCUGGUUUGUGCUACAAUAAAAGAGAUGGAAGAUUUUCUAGUUGAGAAAUUGGACUUUGAUACGUUGAAAAAGUGGGGGGCUACACUUAAUAAGGCCAAGGAACUUAGUUUUCAGGUGGGAUUUGCUGAUGAUUUGUUAAGGAAAAAUUUGCUUGCCUACGUUGGUCACACACAAAUUCUUGGACGAGACUUAAAAAAAGAGGUCGAAGAAUAAGGGAGAAACUAGGAUAAAUUUUUAGGGGGCCGGAUGAAAUUUUAAUUUUUUAUAGUCUAUAUCUUUAUAAUUUUUAUAUGAUUAAUGUAACAGCUUGAUUUAGACCCUAGUCAGAACAGUGGUUUUGGGACCACAAAUUUGAGUCAGAAAAAUAUUUUAAUAUUAUAUUCUAUGCUUAAAGUAUGUGAAUUGAUAUGUGUGAAAUUUUCGUAAGAAAAUUUUAUCAUUUGUGUGCUCAAUUUGCAAAAAGGACUUAAUUGCGUCAAAUGAAAAAGUGGCAAUCCAAUUGUUAAAGCACUAAAUUACUAUGGUUUAUUAAUUGCUAAGUCCUUAAAAUGGAAAUAUGCCACUAUUAUGGUUGAUGGACGGUAAUGGCUAUUAAAUGGAUGGUUUUGGUGUUGUUUUAUUAAGGUUAUUUUAGUAAUUAUUUAAUUAAUGCUUAAUAAAUAAAACCAAAAUCAAUUUUUGGUUCAUCUUCUUCAUUAAAUGACCGAAUAUCACAAUGAAAAAUAGGGUUUGAAUGCUCAAAAUAGUUCGGCACUUUGGGGGAGCAAUUGUAAGUCCAUUUUGACCUGAUUUUUAAUAAUUUUUACGUUUUUGAGAUCGUUGCUUCGUAAAUUAGUUAGCCCGUGCUUUAAUUUUCAAAAUUGAUGAAGAAUUUGUGAUUUUCCAUUGUUGAUAGUUUGAGAUUUUUGUGUUUAAAGAUGAAAAAUAAAUAUGUGUUAAUAGAUUUUCAUAUUGAAUUAAGUGAUUUUUAGUAAAAAUGCCUAUUAAGGAUUAAAUUGAGAAAUUUGUAAAUUUUAGGGACAAAAUGUAAAAUAAAUGAAAGAAAUGGGCUGCUAGGGACCUUAGUGAAAUUCAGCCAAGCAUGGGUGUGGUCAAAUUUUGAAUAUUUUGUGUUUUGUGAAAUAGGGACUAAAUUGCGAAAAAUGUGAAAUGUCAGGGGCAAAAGUGUAAUUAGCCCAUUUAUGUGUUUUUAGAUGAAUUUGAUUGAAUAUAUGAUUAAAUAAGUUGAGUUUGUAUUGAAUUAGAUCAAGAAAUGAGAAAAUUGAAUUUGGAUCGGGGAAGUCGAAAAUUAUCAAAUAAUCGUUCCGGUCUGUUCGUGUUAGUACAAGGUAAGUUCAUAAGUAAAUAAAUGUUGUUAAAUUGAAAUGUAUGUGCAUUAUAUAUACUUAAUUGAGUUGUAAAGAAAUAUAUAUCUGACUAUGGUUUAAGUACGAUGAUAAAUCGACUAUGUUUGGCACUAAGUGUGCGUUUCAAAAUAGCUUCGACUAUAGAUAGCAUUAAGUGUGCAAAUUGAGAAAGCUUCGACUAUAUGAGGCACUGAGUGUGUGAUACCGAGAUAGCUUCGGCUAUAGAUAGCAUUAAGUGUGCAAAUUGAGAAAGCUUCGGCUAUAUGAGGCACUGAGUGUGCGAUACCGAGAUAGCUUCGGUUUAUUGAGAUGACACUAAAUGUGCGAAAUCGAUUUGGCUUUGACAAAUCAGUGAUGUACUAAGUGUACGAAUUCUUAAAGAAUAGAAAGGCUCCCGAAUGAAUUAAUGUAUUGAACAAAAAGUAAGGAAAUAAAUGAAUAAAUAUAGGAAAGUUGAGGUAUGUACGAUACCUAUGUGGUCGUUGAUACUAUGUGUAUGAAGUUUUGUGAAUUUGUAUAUACAUGAUAAAUGGUCAAGGAUUAGAAUUGAAUGAUGUUUUAUAUACGCUCGUUAUAUGAAACUAUGGUCCUAUGUUUCGGACAUGAGAUUUAUGAAACAUGAAACAUGGCUUUGAUCUAUGAUUGCUUGGUUCGAAAACUUGAGCAGAUAAUGAAAUUAAAAUGGUGGAGUUGGUGUACACUUUGUAUGUAAUAUAUAACUAGUAAAAUAAAGUUGAUCUUGGUUGGCUAUAUGAUCCAAGUAUGCAAAUUUGGUUUAUGUGAAUAAGGAAAUUAUGAAUGUGUGAGUUUGAUUUAUAUGAUUGAGAUAAUGGUUGUUAUUCAAAUUUGAAAGCAUGGUUAUACGUUCAUUGAUAAAUAAGAUAAGUGGGAUCAUUUAAUGUGAUUAUAUGAAAUUAUGAGUAAAAUGAAAGUAUAUGUGAUUGAGAUUUGUUAAAUUCAGUUUUGUGAUAUUGGUUUAUAAAUAUCUUUGAAAUGAUUUAUUUGCUUAUGGCUUACUAAGCUUUCAAAGCUUACUCUGUGUGUUUUUCCUAUGUCUAUAGAGUUUCAGAGACUUGCUCGGGUUGGAAGUUGUUGGAGACGUCAUCACACUAUUCAGUUAUCGCUUCGGUAAAUAAAAGCUAUUAGUUUUGGUAAUGUGGCAUGUAUAGGCUAGUUUUGAUAUGGUUCAUUUUGAUUUGUAUAUAUAUGUAGCCGUGCGAAAAUGGCUUGUUAAUGAGGUUAAUGUUUGUGUAUAUUCAGGCAUGGUAUAAGCUUAUUUUGGGAAGUAUGUUUUAUGGUAUGUGUGUAUGGUGUCUUGGUUACAUGUAUUGGUUGAGUAAUGAUUUGGCUUGUACUUUGAGUUAAAUAAUGUGAUAUGUUUUGAGAUAUGUAUAUGGCCAAGUGAAAUGGUCAUUUUGGUAUGUUCAUAAUUGAGAAUUUGGUAACGUUUGACAUAUAAAUUUGGUUUAAUUUGGUAUAGAGAAUAAACAUGAAAUUGGUUGAUGAUAUUUUAGAUUAAUUGAUACAUGUUUGGAGUUGGAUUUGGCUGAAUUUGUUGUAUUUAUGGUGCUUGACUUUGGACUUGUAGGGAAGACCCAAAUAGGUGGCAUAUUGGCCUGGUAAAUGGCCUAUUUUUGCCCACACGGGCAGGGACACGGGCGUGUGUCUUUGCCAUGUUACUUGAGGGCCAUUUCAAAAUGAGCCUGCGCAGACCACCCGAUCGUACACACACGGGCAUGUGCUAGGCCGUGUGGCCAAGUCAGUUUCGACCACAGGUUAGACACACAGGCAUGUUUGUGGCUGUGUAGAUAAGUCAAUAUGUAUGCCCUGUUUUGCCACGGUUUAGAUACACGGGCGUGUCUAAGACCAUGUGAGGUACACGGCCUGUUCACACGGGAAUCUGACCUUUGUGACUUAGGAAAAGUGUUGAAUUUUGGAAAAAUUUUAUAUGUGCUCGGUUUAGUCCCAAACCUCUUUUAAGCAUGUUUAAAGGUCUCAUAAACCUAUAUAAAAGACAAUUAUGAAUGACUUUUAUAUAUUUUGAUCAUGUUUUGCCUAAGUAUAUGUGAAUGUUUCGAUACGUCUGGUAAUGCCUCGUAGCCCUAUUCCAGUGACGGAUACGGGUUAGGGGUGUUACAAUUAAAUCAAAUUUUUAUAAUUUUAAGGUGUCAAAGCACAAUUUUACCUUUAUUAAUUUAAAUUUUUUAAAAAAAUUUAAGGGCAUAAAUAAAAAUUUUAAAUUUUAGGGGGCUAGCCCUCUAAGUUCGCCCCUAUUGGAGAAAUCAGAGGGUGUUUUGCAUUUACAACACAAUACACAACUUAUUUGGUUUGAUGGACUUUGGGUUUCUACAUUUACUUUUCUCUAUUUGAACUAUAUGGUUUUGGGUGUCUUGCAUGGACUUGGUGUUUUGCAAUAAUUUAUACUAUAUGAUUUUUGAGACAUUGAUAUAUUUCAUCACCAUGUGCUAAUCUAUGUAUGAAAUUGUGUUGAUUAUUUUACCUAGUUUGUUAUGUUAAAAUAGUAUGUUUAUACACAUUUUCAUAGGUUAAUGAUUUAUCUUAUGGAUUCCAAGACUAGGCCCAGCCUUGGAGGUCGUCUGGAGGUGUAGCCGUCCAAGACCCAAAGCUGAAAGAGGUCCAAAAUAUUAUUUUCCAGUUAUUAAGGUGCCCAAGGCUGAAAGAGGUCCAAAAUAGUGUUAUCAAUUUAGAUGUAUUAAGGCAAUCUAUGCAUAGGCUGUGAGAUUGGAUUCAAACGAGGAUCUACCAAUGAGGUAAGAAUUAAAAAAGACUAUUAAAGGCAUUAAAUUAAAAAUUAUAUAAAAUAAAAGUUUUAAAUUAUUUCAUAUUAAUGAAGUUAUUAAAAGUAAAGGUAAAUUUCACUAAUACUCACCCAACUAUUAAUAAAUUUAUUUUUGGUCACUCAACUAUGAAAAGUUACAAAAUGGUCUCUCAACUAUUAGUAAAUUAAUCAUUGUACGUUAGAUGAAAGAGUAAAUUGGUUCUUCUAUUAAAAGUUUUAUUCAUUUCUACUAUUAAAAAUUAGUUCAUGUACGUCCAUAGGAGGUACGCGUGGGACGUCACGUGUCACUGUUUGGUUAUUCUGUCAGUCAUGCCAGCUUUAACAAUAGAAAUGGAUGAAUUUUUUAAUAUAAAAGACUAGAUUACUCUUUAAUCUAAUGUACAUGAACUAAUUUACCUAUUUUUUGAGUAGGGGCGAAAUACAAUCUAACAAAUUUUGGACAAGCUAUCAAUCCCCACACACGAGCAAGAAAAGGAAAAUUUUGGUAUACCAAAAUAGUCUAUGAUUUCCGCUAGCAAUAUUGGUACCGCAUUAGAAAUUUUGGUGUUAGACUAAAAAUUUUGGAUAUUUGUCAAAAAAAAAUUUGAUAGACCAAAAUAUUUAACUAUAUCCUUUGAUGUAGACCUAAAAUUAUCUUUUUAGAAGAGUUCUUAAAAUAUCUCUUUUAAAAAGAUAGAUUAUUUAGCUGUCUGAUCUAAUCUAGAAAAAGAAAUCGGUAACGACUUUUUUUAAUUUAAAUCCCCACUUCCCAUGAUUUUGCAAAGAUCAAAAUUUCUAUAUCAUCUGAUUUCAUCAAACUAUUUUUUUAAUAAUUUCAUUAUAGGUUCUGAUCAUAUUUUCUUUCUCACGAUCUUGAUUUUUUUGUUGUGAAGUACAAGAGGAGGAAAAAGCUCUAACAAUAACAUGACUAACGCGAUUUGAACCCAAAAUACCUAAAGCACUAAAUACCCUAACUAUCGGGCCAACAUACGGAUUACUCAGCAUCUUUAGUCAAUAGUAAUGGAAAAUUUUGAAAGAACAAAUAUAGAUUACAAUAAAUUGUGAGAAUGACGUCCGUUGACCCGUUUGUGUCCCCCUGGAUCUGCAUGUUUUUGUUGGAAAGCGUAAUAUCCAUUGUGGUUCUCCAUUGUUUAUCAAACGUGUGAUUUGGUCCUUAAUUCAGUUUUAAUUAAUAUAAUUUGAUUCUGAUUUAAUUUUAAUUUAGUCUAUUUCACUUAUUCGAAUAUUUUGUGUGUACUUGGUGAAAAGAGGAAAGCCUUUGAUUUUAUUCUCAACUGUCUCGACCAAAUCGAAUUGCAUAAGUAACCCAUACAAUCUGAUGUCUAGAACAUUAUAAAAAAGUACCAAGAAAUCAAGAGUGAGCACGAGGAUUACAAAUUAACAGAAGAUAAGGCGAAGCGGAGAUUACUCGAAUUAAUAGAGAAGCUUACGAAACUAGAACAACAACGAUCAAAAGAGGUACAUCAAUGUUUGAAACUCAAAGAAAAUGCUAAGUUUGAUUUCAAGAUCUUAAAUUUUUGGUUUUUUCAGGACUUGAUAAAGUAAGGGAACUUGAUCCAACCUUUGUUAAAAAUAUGGUAUAUGCACUCUUCUAUUCAUAUUAACCUAUAUAGUCCCCUUGGCUAGAUGGGAAAAUUUUCUUUUAGGCCCUCUCAUAAAUUAAAACAUUAAAUUUAAGUCUUUUUAGCUUUUAAUUAAAUGGAAUAGUUGUCUUUUUGGCCCUAUGAAAAGUUAAUAAUUUAAUCUAAGCUUUUUUAACACAAUUUUUUUAGCAUUAGCCCUUCCAAAAUUUUAUAAUUUUAUCUCGCCCUCCUCCCCUUAAUGAAAUUUCUAGCUUCAUCCCUACUUGUUUAAUUCAAACUACUAAUAUUUGACACGGAUAACCCGUGAAGAUAAAUGAACUUUUACUUUAAUUUUAAUAUUGAAUAUUUUAAUUCAAACUCAAAAUUAAGCUUAGACCUCAUAAUCAAACAUAAAUUAAAUUAAUUUAUUACGGAAUUGAUGAAUUUAAUCUUAUACCAUAUUUAGAAUUUAAUUUUAAUUAAUAUACUAAACAAAAAUUAAUCUCAAAAUAAACUUCAUAUAGAAAUCCAAAGUCCAAGGACAAACACAUUAAAGGCAAUACUAUUGUAGACAUAGCAGCAUGCCAACAACAACACAACCAUUUGCUUUUGCGAAGCUAUUUUUUUGCAGUCGAUUUGGGAAGAUUUUGAACAGCAAAAUAGGCUAGCAAAUUCUUCUUCAAUAGAUUAUCAGCAAAUCUCACUUGAAAACCAAAUUUCUCAGCGUAAUUAAGUGUGGCGCCCCACUUUUUCAAGGUAUCCCAAUCCAAAUCCCCAACCGAGAAAUCUUUCAUCUCUUUGAUAGCAGCGCAGACCAGAACUUGAAUGGCGAUAUGAAAAACAUCAGUAGUUUUUCCACGAUCUUUUUCGAUUUGAAUUGCAAUAGAUUCGAGGUACUCUGGAAUUUCCCCCCAAACAGUGUUCUUCAAUGCCUGUUCCAAGCCUGGGAAAUCUUUGCAUUCCACUUUGUCGUUGCCAUUGUCAUAAAGUUGGUUCUCCAAAUCACGGAAUUUAGAUUGUACUCCUUCACGAGUUAGAUCAUCGGUUGCAGUAACUUUUGCCUUCCAUUGGAGGUGGUGGAAAAAAAAAAUACUUAUUAGGUUAAUAAUUCUUAACUCCAACGGCUCGAGUUUUUUUUUUAUAUUUGCAUAUAAUUAAAUUACAUUAUUUCCUUUAAUAUAUUAUUAACUUUAAGCUUAAUUAUUAAACCGAUCUCGAACUCGAGUAUCAAGUUCUAAAUUUAGAAAUCGAGCUUGAACCUGAUAGUAUUUGAAUUCAGCUUAGCUUGAUUACACUACAAAAAACUCAAUUGAAAUUUAAUGAUUUAAUGUGUGGUUAUGUAUCUUAAAGACAUAAAAGAAGCAUGAAAUCUCAAAUUCAUUAUUCAACAAAGAGAAGGGGAAGCUAAUAGUGAUGAUAGUGGUGUGUUUCAUUAAGUCUUAUCACCUUUGCAUAACUAAGUUGCCUUGCUUUUUCUAAGAGAUAUUACCACUAGACAGGGACCAUUUUGAAAUAAAAACCAGAUUUUGAGGCUCAGACAAAAAAAUUUUCCAAAUAAACAAAUGAAUAUGAAUAGAAGUGGUUCCUUCAAACUUGCAGAUUUAUUAAAAUAAAUUGAAUAUGAAUUAGUAAGUUGGAUUAAGAGACUUACAUUAUUUAUCCCUCUUUUGGUUGGAUCAUCGUAAAUUUCCACUACUUCUGGCACGGAUGACUUGAUAAACUCUUCUUCAUUUUUUGUUAAUGAUUCUAGUCGGUCCCGGAGCUCCCUCGGUUCCCUUAUUCCUUUUCUUUCUUGUCUCAAUAAGUCAUCGGAAACAAAGUUCAGAUUUCUUUUCUUGCUUCCAUUCGACAUAGACUGAUGCUCUAACUCUGCCACACCAUAACCCAUCUUCUUGUUCGGAUCUGAGAAAUUUAACUCGGAUUUCCCAAUUCAGAACAACAGAAAAAUUAUAAAGAAGGAUAUGAUAGCGAAUUAGUAGAUUUAGGAGUACUUACAGGUUUCAUGUAUCUAUAUCGGUGAAGAGAAGACACAGAGAAGGCCGCCGCCGCGGAAGAGUAAAGCAGGAAAAACAAAGGAAUUCGUUGGUUAGAGAAAGCUUGCAAGUUGGGUCUAUGUGAUUAACAAAAAGAAGAAAAAAAAGUUCAUCUACGUGAUUCAUUGCUUCCACUCUUCAUUUCAUGUAUGGUUUAAAACAAAUCAAUAUUUUUUUCAUGUCAACUUUAUCUUUAUUUCGAGAUUUUGAAUAGAAUUUAAUGAUCUUAAUUUGACAAAGACUUACCUUUUCCGUUGUCUUCAUCCUAGUCGGACAACCUGCUACCAAAGUUGUGCUCUUUGCAGCCAUUAAAGGGAUUUUAACGAGGAGGUGAUCGAAAAAGUUUAACAUGUCGAACACCCUUUCAGGGGAAGUUAACCUGUUCUUAAUGACCUGAAUUUGAGAGCUCAUUUUGGAAAGGUAAACGUAAUUGUUUUCCCUUGACCAGGGAAAGAGAAGCCUUCUCAAAACAUCGAAAGAUAACUCAUCGGGCAAGUCAUCGGUAUCGUAAAGUGCAUCUUUCAGCUUUUCAAGCCAAGCUGUGAAAUUGCUGGUCGCAGAUCGCUCUUCGGCGUCAGGAAGCAUAACUAUGACUGCAGAGACGGUGAUUCUGAGGUCGUUGAGGUCAUCUUUGACAAGCAGCAACAUUUCAGAGAGAAUAUGGGAGAUUUCGCCCAAGAUGAACCCAGCUUCUUCCGCCAUUGAUGGUUCAAACUAAAAUCAAGGCAAAAAUUGCUUGUUUAUUGCAAGAGAACGAAAGUGAAAUGGUGGAUCGAAGCAUAUGAAAAUUCUGGGUUAAAUAGAACACUUGACAAUACAAUAUGAAUAAAAUAAUGUUUAUGGAUGAGAAAUGUUGGCAGUCUUUAUAUCUUCACGAGCGCAUUCGACAUAACUUUCUCGCUAUGGGCGCGAGCGUAUUCAACUGCAACGUAAAUUUCUCGCGAUCAGAGCGGGCAUAUUCAACUUCAACGUAACUUUUUUCGCGAUGGGCGCGAGCAUAUUCAACUUCAACGUAACUUUCUCGCGAUGGGCGCGAGCAUAUUCAACUUCAAUGUAACUUUCUCGCGAUGGGCGCGAGCGAGCAUACUCUAACAGUAUUAAUUUUUUACCCAUUACGGUCGAAAUAAACUAAAAUACUCGUCCUAAAAGAAUUGUAGUUUUUAGCUUUACCAAAAAAAAAAAAGCCAUUUUAAAAAAUGGAGUGGUCCAACAACUUGUCCUUUUUGUCUACUUCAAAAGCUAUAUAAACCAUUAUCUCCACUAAAUACCGACAUUGAGAUUUUUUAAAAAUACAAUCAAGACUCUAUUACCUAAACGGACUUGCGCACAGGCUUUCGUUGAAGCAUAUAGUGCCAAGUUUGACAGCUAACUUUCCCCUAGUCUUAUCGUGUCAAUUUUACAUAGAGGAAAUUAAAAUCACGAGCUUUUGGUGUUGGAAGUUGGACUUAUUUAUAAUCCCAUCUUAUUGAAUUGCUUUGUUUCUUCAGUUUUACUCUUGCACACCUGACCCUGCUCUCCCUUCUUUUCACUGCGAUUUUACUCGUGCCAAAAUGAGCAUAGCUAACAUUUCAUCCCCUGAAGAUAGCUAUGGAAGACAUGGAAACUUGUUACCACCUGUGAGACAGACACCAACAAUCAAUCAAAACGUUCAACAGGGAGAUAUUUCAUUUGGGAACUACAUGAACCAGAAUGGAGACAUGAACUUUUCAUCAGGGAGAGAUCGAGAACUGCUGUAUGCCAAGAUCCUUGAUGCUGAGUGCAGGCAUAGGUGAGAACUCCUUGAUGCUGAGUGCAGGCAUAGGUGAGAACUCCUUAAUGCUGAGUGCAGGCAUAGGUGAGAACUACUUGAUGCCGAGUGCAGGCAUAGGUGUGAACUCCUUGAUGCCGAUGUCGAGUGCUGGCAUAGGUGAGAACUCCUUGAUGCCGAUGCCGAGUGCAGGCAUAGGUGAAAACUCCUUGAUGCCAAAUGCAAGCAUGAACUCUCAAGAGGAAGAGUUCUCAGGUGAUUUGGGUUUUCAGCCCUCAACUAGCUUUGAGAACCCUAAUCCUCCUAUGGUAUGUUCUGCAUAAUUAUUUGUUUAAUUUAAUGAAAAUGUGUCAUGUUACUAUUUAAUGAUGAUGCAUGAAAUUUAUAUAGGAACCGUACAUCAAAAAUUACUUACUCUUCGUGCAUAUUUCCGGUUAAAUUUUUUCUUGCUGCUGUUAAUUGCUAUUAUAUUAUUGUUUUGUUAUGCAAAAUUUUUCGUGCCAAAUCAAUUGAAUUCACCACCUACAAUUGACACUUUGUUACAAGCAACAUUUGCAACAACAAAUUCUCAGGAAAUGACUCAUGAUUUCACUAUGUUGAGUCUUGAAUCACAACUUUUCGUUUCAAUGAUUACUUUAAUAUAAAUUUCUCAUAUUCGUGCCAAGAUGAGGAUGUCAUACCCUGAAUAUAUCCAUAAAGUGAGUGGAGACUCGUCACAACAUGAGAGAGUGACACCGACAAACGAUCAGAACUUUCAAGAUGGAGAGAAUGAACAGUUGCUCAAUCAUAAUCAGAUAAACUAUUCGAUGCUGUGUAUAGGCCAGAAAAGACGCUUUAAAGAGCUUGACACAGAGGAACAGUGCAACUCCGAACAAUCACCAAUGCGGAAAAAUAAAAAAUUUACCAGGGAAGAGCUUGUCAAAACGAAAACUGGGCAUGAAAUAAGGUUACUAUACAGGCAUCGGGUUGACAGACAGAUAGCACAGUUAAAUUCUUCUAAUUGAAUUUAAUAAUUAUUGUUAUUUAUUUAUUAUAUAUAUUGAAGGUAAAAAUGAUUGGAUUCUGCAUUAUUGGUUAUGCUUACUUUAAGUUACUUCAUUAUUGAAGUAUUUAUGGAAAAAUAUUUUACGAAAGUAUUUUAAAAAAUUUUGAUAGUGAUUAUCACUCGUGUUAAAAAUUAGUUUUAGACAUGAUGUUGUAAAGCUUCCUAGAUUGGGUUAAAAUCUUAAUUAAAAAUUACAGGUUGAUUUGAAAAAUUGUUUGUUUACCCAAAUUUUUUUAGUUUGAAGUAAUGAUUUGAGUUGAGUAUGAUUUUUUAACUUUAAUGAUAAACAAAGAAACUAAAAUCUGGGAAUGGUAUUUACCCAAACUUCAAUUUUUUUAUUUCAAUAAUCCAAAAAAGUCCUUAUAUCGACAAUGUAAAUAUGUUUGUUUCUUUUGACACCUAUUUUGUAUGUAUAUUGUGGGAAACGAAGGACAAGGAGACAGAUAUGAAAUCAGUACUCGUCAAGCCAUGGCCAAUGCAACCGGAUAUCCAGAGCAUUCAGCAAGAGUUCCAAGAAAUAGCUAAUGCCAAUUUGGAACCAGAAGCGGAUUUGCUCGAAGUAGCAUCCAAGUUUGAUAAAUUACAGCAGCAACGUAAAGAGGUAUGAUAAAUUUUGACAAAUUUAAUUACUCAAUCUAAGUCUCCAAUCUAACUUUUUAAUUUGGUUUUUCAGCCCUCAACAACAGCUGGGAAACGUGGUCUAUCGGUAUGCAUAAUUUUUUUUUUAAUUUGACGAUGAUAUGUUGUGUUAUUAUUUAUUGAUUAUACAUAAAAUUUAUGUAUCAAAGGCAAAAAUAAUUUUAUGGACCCUUUCCACCACAUUAACCAUAGUCUAAUUUUUAAUUAUUUAAUGACAUUUCAGUAAUUUUUUUAUAUUAUUCACACAUAAUUUUGGUAAUUUUUUAACCUUGAACUCAAACCUAGAACUCUAAACCCUGAACCUUGAACUCAUGGUUUGGAGUUCGGAAUUUAAGGUCCGAGUACAAUGUUCAUGUUUGAGAUUUGAGGUUUGAGAAUUAUGUUUUAAUGACAUGAAAAAAAUUAUUGAGAUGUCAUUAAAUAAUUAGAAAUGAACAUUGAAUAAUGUGGUGGGAAUGGUCAAUAAAAUAAUUUCUCGUAUAAAAAUUGCAUCAGAUAUUAUUUUGUUAUAAUAAAUCUCUGUUCUCGUGCACUGAAUUUAUUUUUAAACAUUGCAAAGUCAUUUUUUAACUAUAUUACUUAAAUAGGGAAGUGAAUAUCAAAUAUAAAAAUUUAUAUCUAACAUAUACGUGUUAAAUCUUUUCAAGAAUUUGGAUGGCCAUAUUGGAUAAGUCACAUUAUAAUCAUAAUUUCUUUUUCAUUUUAGUUGUUUCUUUAGACUUAUCGAUAGGACAUUGCAUAUGGUUUAAUGUAUCUUUAUCUUCUUUUAAGUUUUCCUUUCUUUUUCUUUAUUUUAAUGUGAUAUGACGUUAUUUUUGAACUCGCCCAUUCUUACAUCUGUCUAAUUAAAUUUCAGGAUUUCAUCGUGAAUAAUUUAGAUUUACAUUUCCAGACUGGCUUUGUGGAGGCAUUAAAGAAAAAGGUAUGGUUUAUAUAUAAUGCAUUCGACAUUAGCUGACCUAAGUAGUAUUUGAGAACAACCAACCAAAACAAUUUAGGUUUCAGAAAACCUUGUUCUAUUUAUAAGGCUAUUACUUGAUCAUCAACAAACCUUUUUCAUUAAGAUUUUUACUUAAUAAUAAUACCAAUUUCAUUAAUCAACAUAAUCAUCUUGCAAUAUCCGUCAUCUAUGAUUAUUUGUUGAAUACGUGUUCGUAAUGACAUCACAUUAAAUCUCAACUAAUCAUAGACAUACCAAUCUCAUAAUUUAUGGUUUACUAUGUUUAUUGUUUCAGUUUUCUGCAAGUUCCCCAUCUCUACUCUCUGCUUUUAGUGAUUUGAAACACAUUGUUUAUGACAAAGGCAACAACAAAGUGGGGAAAGAAAGUUUCCCAGGCUUACAAGAAGAGUUGCAGAAUAUCGGUUGGGAGGAAGUUCCAAGCUCCUUUCAAUCUAUUGCGAACCGAAUCGAAAAGAAUCGUGGAAUAGUUACCGAGUUUACCUAUAAACUGGUUUGUGCUGCAAUACAAGAGAUGGAAAAUUUUCCAGUUGAGAAAUUGGACAUUGAUACGUUGAAAAACUGGGGGGCUACACUUUAUAAGGCCAAGGAACUUGGCUUUCAGGUGGGAUUUGCUGCUGAUUUGUUAAAGAAGAAUUUUUUUGCCUACUUAAGCUUACACACAAGUUUUUGGAUGAGACUAAAAAAAGGAGGUCUGCAUUUGCAGCAAAACUCACAAAACUUAUUUGGUAUUUGGGUUUCUAUAUUUUCUCUAUUUCAACUAUAUGGUUUUGGAUGUCUUGCAUGGAUUUGGUAUUUUGCAAUAAUUUAUACUAUGAUUUUUGAGACAUUGAUAUAUUUCAUCAGUAUAUGCUAAUCUAUGUAUGAAAUUGUGUUGGUUAUUUUACCUAGUUUAUUAUGUUAAAAUCGUAUGUUUAUACACAUUUUCAUUGGUUAAUAAUAUAUCUAACCUGCAACAUGUAAAUCAAUUUAUCAUUUAUAAGUUUCAUUUAUUAGCUAAACACAAUUCCAGUCUCUCUUAACAUGAAAUUCUAACUUAGCCAAAUAAGAUUUCAAUUUAUCAAUAAUUCCAGUAACUUUAUCAUGAGAUCAAUUAACGUUGUGGCACCUAGUGCCUAGUGGUAAACCGCAGAAAAAGGGUUGCGCCCAGUGCUAUUCGGAUGAACCGACGGUAAUGAAUGUGAGCUCAUCUCUGGUUGGAUAAACCAACAAUAUUUUGCACCCAGUGCUAGUAGGGUAUACCGACGAUAAUAAUUGUGAGCCUAGCUCUAGUUGGAUGAACCAACGGUGAUUGCACCUAGCGCUAGUCGGAUAAACAAAUUGUGUGCCCAGCACAAGUCAAACAAGUUGACAAAGAUUGCGCCCAACGCUAGUCGAAUGUAUCGACAAUUGUAUGACUAUUUUCUUAUCAUUAAUUCCAUCAUAUGCAUACAUUUUAUAUCAAAAGCUAAUUUAGCAUUAAUCAAUUUAAAUAAUAAUUAAAAGAAAAAUUAAGUUCAAGUCCACGAACUUACCUUAACAAAACAGUCGUAAUAGUGAGGCCGCUAGCUACUCCAUUACCUUCGUUUUUCCACGAUUCACAUCUGAUUGAUUUGUUCCUUAACCAAAGUUCAUAAUUUCAUUAUCAAACCCUAAAAUCCUAAAUUUAAUAAAAUCAUAGUUUGCUAAAUUUAUUUAUAGCAUUUAACUAAUUUCUAGUCAUUGCUAACCAAUCUCAUAUCACAAAAUAAUCUACAUAUAUUUAAUGAACUUAGUAAAUAAGUCCCAAAUUUUCCAGCAUUGAAUAGUACACUAAAACAGUCCCUAUACUUCAUCAAAUUAACAAUUUAAGCUAUGUUAUUUCAAAUUUAUAACCUUUUAGCCCUAAGAAUUAUUAUCAAUAAUACCACCACUCAUUAUGACCAAUUUAAUCUACAAAAUUUAUACUCAAAUCUUCAUAUAAAAAACAUUUAGUAUUCAACAAAAUAACCUCAAACCUUCACAUUUCUCAUCCAUGGAGACUUCCAUAAUUUCUAUUUACUCUUAACAUUUCCAUAUGGUUAAACUAACCCAUAAUAUUUUAUCAUAAAAAACAUAGAUUUCAUGCUAAAUAAUCAACUUUUACUUACAAUUUUACUCAUGUAUUCAACCCCCAUAGCAGAACAUUUCUUUCCCCCUUUCUCUUCUUCUAUUUUCUGCAGCAAGGAGAAGAGAAAAUUUUUCACUCCCACACUCAAUCUUCUUUUCACCUACUAUAUCUUUUAUCUCUUCUAUUUAC